CGUCCUUGGCGGUGAGGAUGACGUUGAUGGUGUCGAGGUCGUUGAAGGUGGAAACGAGUGAGACAAGGUGAUUUUGUUGGCAGUGGCGAAGGGAGCUUGGGCAAAGUUAAGCCUAAGUCUAACUGCCUACAACUGACGUGUGAUCCAGGGUUUUCAUUUGCAAUUGCAUGCAUUGGUGUUGCGGCGUGAAUAACCUGUUGUAAUGACAAAUGUCUCAUUUUCAAUUAAACGCCAACCCAAACAUAUAAAUACAACCCAUAAUUACCAGGUUCGUCAUAUGCUUCGGUAUGUGUACGCAACAUAUGAAUUACCCGGGUAUACAAAGUUGGUUCGCGAGCUGUUCGAUCUAAGUAAACUAAAACUAUAUUUAUAUUUAUAUUAAAAAUAGUUCUGUAGAUAUACUUCAAUUUUAAUAAUAUUUAUUUUAUUAAUUUUCCAUAAAUAAAGUCAUUUAUGUUAAAGUACUGUAUUAUUUGUAUUUUGGGUUGUCUAAAUGACCCAUGGUAAAAUUUGGGUUAAAUAACCCAUGGUCUAGGUGGACCAAUCAUAUUUAAGAUAAAUUGGUGGAAUUUUUUAUAUUUUAUUUAUUAAUUUAUUUAUGGUUAAAUAUGUUUUUGUCCCUAAUUUAUACACAUAAAUAUAAAAUGGUACAUGAAAAAAAACACACAAGUUUUAGUCCUUGAAAAUUUUUAUUUAAUUUAAAAUGGUCCUUGUAAUGGAUUUUUCACAUCUAUUUGAGGCCCUCCAAAAUUUCUUCCAUCAAAUUUAAUUCUUCUUCAUGAAAAAAAACACACAAGUUUUAGUCCUUGAAAAUUUUUAUUUAAUUUAAAAUGGUCCUUGUAAUGGAUUUUUCACAUCUAUUUGAGGCCCUCCAAAAUUUCUUCCAUCAAAUUUAAUUCUUCUUCCUUGAUAAUCAUGUCAAAACCUAAAAAUCAAUCAAGUACUGGUGUGUUGGGGAUUUAGUUCUUCUUCCAUCAAACUUUGUCACGAUGUAUGGGGCUGAAUUAGAGGGUGAUCCUCUUGUCAAUUGGGUUGUUUUUGUCCUUCCUCUGCUUUGUACGAGGGUUGCGUUUCUUAUUCCCAGAGGCUUAUCUAUCCGGUACUAGUGUGUUUGUACAGGGCUACGACCCUUCCUAUAUCAAUAAAUUUUUGAUUUUGCAAAAAAAAAACCUAAAAAUUGUAUUUUCAUCCCAUAAAAGGGAAAGAAUAAGAAACACAGAGCAAAUAGAAUUUUAUAUCCUACACAAGUAAAUUUGAUUUCAUACGGAUUCGGAAGCAAACAUGAAAACCAUUUGCCAAAUUCAUCCUUCUAUAUUUCAAUUUUGUUUUUGAGAACACAACAACAUGAUGAGCUGAGAAUGUAAUGAAGCGUAGCAUAAGAUAGUUACCCCACCAUGGCUGUGUUCUUUAAGUUUGGGAUAAAGAUAUGAAUUCUUAGGUUUUGAAAUAAUUAUGAGCGGAGAAGGACUAAAUUGAAUGGAAAUUUUUUAAAGGGAUCAAAAUAGAUGUGAAAAAUAAUUUAAAGGACUAAAACCUUUGUCUUUUUUUUUCAGGUACUAUUUUAAAUUCAUUUGUAUAAGUUAAGGACAAAAACAUAUUUAACCCUAUAUAAAUUAAUAAAUAAAAUAUAAAAAUUCAAACAAUUUAUCUUAAAUGUGAUUGGUCCAUCUAGACCAUGUGUUAUUUAACCAUAAUUUUACCAUGGGUCAUUUAGACAACCCUUUGGGUUUAUAUAAGUUUUGUUUUUGUCUAGUUAGUAACGUAAAAUGAAAACAGUGAAUUGGGCUUGUGCAGAAAAAAUAAAAAUAAAAAAGGAAACAAGUAGCCCAUCCAUCUGGAUUAACCCAUAUACUAGCCUAACACAGUAACACGUGCCGUAGCCUCACACCUUCUUCACCCUUUUAUUUUGGUGGCUUCCAUGGCGUGCUUCAUCCUCAAAACCACUCCUCUUUCUCUACCUAAAAAUGCUCAUGCGGCCCUCAAAAGAGCACCUAUGGCCCUGCCGACAGCUGAAGAGCCACGUAAGGAGCCCAGGCAAGCGGUGGCUCCGCCACUGUUUGUUGGAGACUCUUCCCGAGGGAAUAGCUCGGGUGUAUGGUUUGCUUUCCUACGACGAGCGCAGAGGAUCCCGAUCCCCUCAACGAUUAUGGAGACGGGCCCAACUCGAAGGGAAAUACAAAGUCGGUUCCCAAGAUGAUGAAUUUACAUCUGAUACCCUUCCCUCUAACUGCCUCGACAGCUGUCAUCUGAACACUAUAACCGCUUUCUAGAAACCACACCUUCUCCAUUUCCCGCUCAACUCUGAAGUCUGAAUCCUCUCGCUCAUGGCUGAAGCUGAAGGUGUUCAAUCGGCUAAUGUCACCAUUGUUGCUAAUCCUCAAACUUCAGGUAACACUUCACAUUCUUGCUCUGCUCUCAACUCUGAAGUCUCUGAAUCCUCUCGUUCAUUCCCUACCAUGGCUUCCAAUUCUGAAGGUACUGAAGCUGAAGGUCAAAUCGAUUCGGAGGAUGUCACCAUUGUUGUUAAUCCUCAACUUCCAGGUAACCUUUUGUUUUCAUUCUCUCUUCCAUACUCUCUGAAUCCUCUCGUUCAUUCUCUACCAUGCUUUUCUCUACAUCCUCUCGUUCAUUCUCUAUGCUUUUCCAAUUCUGAAGGUACUGAAGAUGAAGGUGGUUUAAUUAAUCAAAUCGAUUUGGAGGUUCAAUUGGCUAAGGUCACCAUUGUUGCUAAUUCUCAACUUCCAGGUAACACUUCAUUCUUCUUCCAUUCAUUCUUCUAUGGCUUCCUACUUUCAACUCUGAAGUCUCUGAAUUCUCUCUCGUUUGAAGGUCAAAUCGAUUCAGUUCAAUCAGCUAUUGUUGCUAGUCCUCAACCUGCAGGUAACGCUUCAUUCUGUUUUCAUUCUUUCUUUCUUAGCUUCCUGCUCUCAACUCUGUCAUUGAUGCUGGUGAAGGUGUCAUUGAUGCUAAUUCUGGUGAAGGUGGUUCGGAGGUUCAACUGGCUCAGCAGUGCAGUAGAAAACGUGGAAAAUGGAGAUGUCCAAAGAAGCCUUUGCCAGACAGAAAAUUAUGUGAAGAUCACAGAGCCCAAUCUCAGAAACACAAUGAAGAAUACCGGAUUAAGAAGAAGAAUAAGAAGAAGAAUAACGGUAUGCCUGCGCCUGCUGCUGCACCUUCUUCAUCGGGGGGUAAUCAGUCCAAGUCCAAGAUCCAUCGGUGAUCGUGCCACUGAGGACCAGCUUGUCACUUCUACUACUGUCUCUGUCUCUGUUACCAGGUACUGUUAUUCAUUUCCUGCACAUGAAAUUCAUUUUCCACCUUUUUUGUUUCAGCUUCAUGGUUCUUCCUAACAAGAUUGUUGUUUUCUCCGUAGAAUUGAUUACGGUUUCAAAACAGUACCAAACGAUCGUUUUGCUGUUUGCACCUGUUGAUGAAACAUUCAUGAAUUCCCAAUUAUCCUUGUUCCUUGUUGCGUUGUACAAACACUUGUGUUUCUUUGCCUGUUUUCAGAAGGCAAAAGAUAGAGGCUGAUGCUGAGAGCAUUAUUCGAGCAAUUACUCCUGCCCUUGAUUCUAGCCGAUAUAAAGGCCAAGCAGGUACACUAUUCUUUCAGGUUAUGCUAUUUACUUGUAUUGCAUCUAUGCUUAUUAUUUUUGCAUACUUUGUUUUUACUGUGUUAGCAAGUUUCUGUCCUUUUUCUUUCCAUUCAUUUCAUUUGGUAAAUGGAACCAACUACCUAGGUUGUGGUAAGUUGUGUUAAUCUAAGAUAGAAAAUUGAGAAAGAAAAUUGUUGUCCAAUUUGUGCAGAAGAAGACCCUCGUAUUAUUUAUAUUGAAUAAAGAUUGGUGUACACUCUUUGGGUGUAGACCACUAGAGAGAGAUAAAUAAGUGUGAUAUAUGAUGUGAUGUGACCGAAAGAAAGAGAUAGAGAGAAAAAAAAAGGUGUCCCAAGGUGUCUGUACUAUUUGAUGGUCUAUGAAUACGUUGCUGAUUUAUAUUUUAUGUUUGUGACUGGGUAGAAAAUAAGAAGUGACUAAUGUUUUCUUCACUUAUGUUUCAAAUCAGGAAAAAUAGUUGUGAUUGGAGGUUGCCGUGAGUAUACAGGUGCACCAUAUUUUGCUGCAAUUUCAGCCUUAAAAAUUGUUAGUACCCGUACUCUUUCUAAUUACCCUUUCCUCCUUGUAAUGAUUUCUCCUCAAGUUUGGUUGUAGGGUGAAAGAACUGAACUAUUUUUUCACCCAGGGUGCUGAUUUGUCCCACAUAUUCUGUACAAAAGAUGCUGUGUUUUGGAAGAAUCAUAUGGUGUCAGGUAUGACUUCUUUGUAAUCUACAUCUUUUUGUCUGCAUAUUUCAAUAAAACCAAGUGGAUGGUGUGUUUAGCGAGAGUCUAAUUUCAGGGAGGAGGACAAGAGGACCACAUCAAGCAAGAUUCUUGCUGAAGUUGACAAAUGGUUAGAAAGAUUUGACUGCCUAGUCAUUGGUCCAGGCCUUAGAAGAGACCCCUUUCUGCUAGUAUGCUUUCUAUUGAAAUGCUUCAAUGGAUCAUAGUUUUAUUACACACAUAGACUCAUCUUUAGCUUCUUGUGUUUGCUUUUGGACUUCAAAAUACUCUUAUCUUUUCUAGUACGCGUGUAAGAUAAUAUGCAUGCAGAUGAUGAUAAGUACAAAUACAGUAUAAUGAAUUAAUGUUGCCUGAAAAACUGUCAAAGAACUAGUAGUUUAAAGAUAAACUAUUGGAGGAUAACUCAAAAGGCAGUUUUUCUCAUGUAACAACUCAUUGAUAAUGAUGUAACAAAGCAUUAGCUCAUAACUCUUGGAACUUGAUAUUACUUUGUAUUGAUAUUCUGAUAAUAAAGUUGAAAAUGGUAAGGAUGAACUAGAUCACCUCAUUGCCCUUCUUUUGGUACUGUGUCAAAGAACCAUACUGUCUAAAAGUGUAAGUUAUUGAGCGCAUACAUAGAUUUUAUGGCUGUUGGAAAUUUGCGCUUUCAAGCUGUACAUACUACAUAGUGUUUAUGAAAUAUACUGUUUUCUUCAACCUUGUUGUGUUACAGGUAUUUUCCCCCAUCUGAGUUCUAUCAUUCUACGAGAUGAUAUAUCUUAUGAUGUACCUGUUUCCGUUGACCACCAUUCUUAUCCUAACAUUUGCGCAAUAUUAUCAGGAUUGUGUGAGUGAAAUCAUGAGACAUGCAAGACAGUCAAACAUCCCAAUUGUGGUAGAUGGGGUAUGUAUGUAAGUUGAGGUCUAGAAACAUUGUAGUCUGAUUAACAUGUCCAUAUCGAUUGCACAUCUAGCCUAUAUAUGAUCAUUCUAAUACUUUUUUUUUGGCAUUUUCAGGAUGGACUUUUUCUUGUUACAGAUAAUAUUGACCUUGUUAGUGGCUAUACAUUAGCUGUUCUUACCCCAAAUGUCAUUGAAUAUAAACGUCUUGUACAGAAAGUACUGAGUUCUGAAGUAAAUGACACAGAUGCUACUCAGCAAGUGCUAUCGCUUGCCAAACAGUAAGCUCUUCAUUUCAAGUACCCUUUUUUGUGCUAGAACAUUUUUCUGGCAACGGUUCCUUCUCCAUUUGUUGUUUGCUGUUUCUGAAAUGUGUAUCUGUUGCUGUCAGUUUGGUACUGUAACCACCAUGUUUUUCUGCAAGCAAACUUGGCUUCUGUAUUGUGAAAUUUACUUGGCCAAAGGUUGUUUUUUCAAAUUACACAAAUAAGUGUAGCGCUCACUCCAGAUAAUUGACAAGUUCUGAGGGCGUAGUUGGAAGAUGAGUCACAUAAAUGUAAUAUUCAUGCAAGAUACUGCUCCAUUUUAUGUUCACCCCAGGACCAUGAACUUCCGGAGAAAAAACAAAACUUCAGUCAUAAAUGGAAGGAUGUGUUCCUCAAUUGGGAACUCCAUUCUUUUCAACCAUCUGGUCUUAAAAGACAGAAAUAACUACUUUUGAUAUCCCUCUCUAGUCUACAAUCUCCAUAAUUUAUUUUCACUGUGACUCUAAAGCUCUGAGAACUUAUCUCAAGAUUCAAACUGGAAUGGGGAUUUAAAUUUUAAAUCCUAAUAUGCGCUGUAUAGUGGGAAGUGUGAUUUACUUGAUGCUCAGGCUAACUCAUGGCAUAUGCAGGUCAAAUAUUGUGAAAACUGAUUAUAAUAAUUAGAUUUCUUUGUAAAAGAAAAUUUAGACAUUUUAGCAAUAGAAAGAACUAGAGCAUGAUAAGUUGUUUGAUUGGUCUGCAUUUCGAUGAUCUGACUCUAAGUGCAAAAGCUUAAUGAUGGCUGUGAACUUUUUUGGCAGGAUUGGUGGUGUUACUAUCCUAAGGAAAGGGAAAUCUGAUCUCAUUAGUGAUGGUGUCUGCAUUUCGAUGAUCUGACUCUAAGUGCAAAAGCUUAAUGAUGGCUGUGAACUUUUUUGGCAGGGUUGGUGGGGUUACUAUCCUAAGGAAAGGGAAAUCUGAUCUCAUUAGUGAUGGUGAUACAGGUAGAUCCUUGAUAAAUGUAAAAAUCUUGUUCUUUUUUCCAUGCAUAUUUUCAAUUCCAAUCAAGAUGUAUGUUCAUGUAGUACCUGCAUGUUGUGUACAAGAUAAUUGAACUGAAAGUUUACAAAUGUAGUUGUCCUUCUUAAUUAAUCUAUGGAAUAGAGGCUUUAAGUUAUGGAACAGACAGCAAUGUUCUCUGAAGCAUGACAUAAAAAGUAGUGCUUGACAGUAUAUUAUUUUUGCAUUGGCACCUUGCUUAUGAGAUAAGUAUUAAAGUGAUCCUUCAGUGCUUUAUGAUAUAGACUGUUUUGUGGUAAAUGAUUUGAUUAUGACUAUUAUUUGUGCAGUCAAAUCAGUGACCAUCUAUGGUUCUCCUAGGCGCUGUGGUGGCCAGGGUGAUAUCCUUUCUGGAAGGCAAGUUAACUUUUAUACAGUUUUCUUAGAUGCCUUCUCUUUACAUUAGAUGGAGUUCUCUUCAUUUUAUGCUCCUUCCCUCCUUUUUCAUUUUGUCACUGUUAUCUAAGCACUUUCAAAAAUCAAUGUAAAAUGUCUAUGAAAUCUGGAGCGCUCAUUAAUACAAUUGAAAAAGAGACGCAACUCAUUCAACUCCUUGUUUUAUUAGUUGCUUUUAUUUUGCAACUCAUUUGCUUGUCAAUUUGUCAUUCAUUGAAAGAGAGAAGUAAAGCAUUCAAUCACUUGAUCAUGAUCUUUUCUUGAGUUGGACCAAUAGUUCAAGUUAAAGUAGCAAUUUAAGUUGUUAAGCUUCCAUAUUUCUACUAAUUCGCUGAGUCUACUACAUUGGGGAGCUUGUGAGUAAUGUAUACUGCAGUGUUCAUGUACAAUUCUUAGCUAUUAGAAACAGAUUCUAUAAUACUGCUACAGCAAAUCUCAGAAGAAAAUAUAAAUUGCAUGUUACUUACACAUAUGUUGUUGAAAUUCGAGAUUUUAAUAAAAGUUUACUUAUUUUAAUUGGUACAGUGUUGCUGUCUUUUUGUCGUGGGCACGCCCACAUAUUUUAGCUGCUGGUCCAAAUUCAAAUCUCAGGUUAUAUGUCAUUACCUUACCUAGAUUCUACAACAAAUGUUUUCUAUUUUGCUCAGGCAUAUUGUCUCAUCUUUGAAUAUCAGUUAUAUCUUUAGUUAUAUUUUGUUACAGUCUUACAAAUCCAGCAGUUUUGGGAUGCAUUGCUGGGUCUGCUAUGAUGAGGAAAGCAGCUUCCCUUGCCUUCUCCAAUAAGAAACGAUCAACGGUCACUGGAGAUAUCAUUGAAUGCUUGGGGAAAAGGUAGAGAUUUCAUGAAAAAUUGUAAAACUUUGUUUAAUGAUAUGAGCAAGUUGAGUUGCAUUUAAGCUUCUGUAUUAUUUCUUGCAGUCUGGAAGAUAUUUGUCCUGCUGGUUCAUGCUCUUUGUGACCUCCAGACACUUACAUGAAACAUGUCAAGUUGUAUGUUUUGCUUGGAGAAUAGUUUCUUUCGUUUACACUGGUUUUUACUUUUAGACCUUAGAAACGCAUCCCUUCACACAAGUGUAAUGUGAAAAUAGCUUGCAUUGUCAGUUACAUUUGUAAAAUUGUUGCGGAAUGUUCCUUAGAAACGCAUCCCUGUAAUGUGAAUGUUACUUCCUCCUAUAAAAAAAAAUGACAUUCGUUUGCCACUUUUAAACCUUACGAAUUGAAUUGUCUGGUCAUUACAUGUUAACUUUGAUGACCAAUUUAUAGAAACAAAGACAAUGCCCUCAUUUUUGCACCAUGGUUUUGGGAGAAGUGAUUUGAAGGUAUGAGACAUUCAUUUGGGAUCUCUCAUAGAUUAAUCUUUCUUAAAAACAUGAUCCCACUUAUUAGUAGGUUGGGCGGGGCUGUUUGGAGAGUUGAAUUGCUCAACCCACCCGCUAUGUCGUCGCACCUUAAGGUUAAGUAGGUUCGGCCCUCAAGUUGGCACCGGUGAUUUUGGUAUAUAUUUAAAGUUUAAAUAGAUAAAUGAAAAAGUUCUCUUGGUGUUAUCCCUUAAAUCCAAUUAUUAUUGAGAACUAUUCCAUACUUUUAUUCUUUUAUUAAUAAUCCUUUUAAGACUAUCAAGUUCUUAACAUGAAAUUUGAAGGAGGGGGGCGGUUUAUACAUACGGGUGACUUCACUCAAAGCUGAACAUUUAGACACAUUGACAGUGAAAACUACUUUUCGGUCUCAUCUGAAUCUGGGGAGUUUUUCAUCAUCGGAUGUUUUGGGGCUGCAUACUGCAAUACUUGAGGAGCAGAAGGAUAGAGUGGUUGCUGCCUGUAUAUAGCAUGAUCAAAAGGAGGCCGUUGCAUAACCAAAAUGAGGAGGAGGAGGUGGUGGCACAUAGUAGUAAGGAUGAGGAGUACCAAGAGGAGGAGGAACAUUUUGACCCGGGAAAAAAAAAUUGUGCGUUGCGCUUGCAUUAUGAAAGUGUGUUACUUACGUACAUUGAAAGUGCUAUAGUCACGAAUUUUUAAAGUGCUAUAGUGACGCAUUUUUAAAGUGCGAGUGAAAAAAAUUUAUAAAAGGUAUUUUUGGAUUUUACGAAUUUAUCAGGGUACGAAUAGAUGUGGGGGGUCCGAAUAACAACUCCCUGUAUAUUAUUCAUACGCACUCAUACUUAUUGACAUCCUUAAAUCUGAAUCUAUCAAAAUGAUUAGGCUUAAUAAAUCAUGGAAUAAGGCCUACUUCAACGUGUACCUAUUGAAAACCAUAAAAGUAAUUUUGUACCCAUUAGAAACCAUAAAAGUAAUUUUAAAAACCAAUUUUGUUAAGUGGAAGAUGGUUCGGAGGCAACCAAGAGAGAGUUGAUGGUGUUACCUACAGAGCUGUUGGAGCCUUACGGCGUCUUGACCUGAGCUCGGAGUGCCUUACUGAUUGGGAAGCGAUUGGGAAUGGUGUAUGAUCCCUCAAAUUUUUAAUUUGAAAUAAAAGACAUUAAACAACACAACUCACAUGAGCUAAUAAUAUGUUUUUUUUUUGAAACUGGAAAAUAUUAUUAAAAAUAGCUUAAGUGGUCAUAGCGGCAGUUACAUCAGAAUCAACCAAACGAAUACAAUCCGGCGGAACCUCCUCAAUCCAAACAUAGUUGGGGUACUUUGAGGAGUUCUUAGCUAAGUGAUCAGCUACAGUGUUUCCGGAUCGGCGAACAAAAGAUAAACUAAAACUAUUAAAGCGGGAAACCAAAUCCUUACAAUCUCUAAGAAUUGAAAUAAAAUAAGAAGCCCUUGCUUCCCAAAUCACCCACAAAACCGAUACACACAAAGCUUCCAAGCUGCUGUCAUGAAGCUCAAAAACUUGCUGCAACAAACUCAUUACCGUGCUAUCGGGCUGCACCUGCAAGCCACUCACCAUCGCGAACCACCAUCGUGAUGUAACCGGGCAUGCCAGAAGCACAUGGUCGAUCGUUUCAGGAAUGUCAUGGCAAAAAAGGACAGCUAGCGUCCACAUCAACUCCACGAACUUGCAGUAAUUUCCUCACUGGAAGAAUGCCUCUCACCGCCCUCCAAGCAACCUCCUUGCAACGGGGAAGAGCUUGGACAUGCCAGAGAGAUUUCCAGAACUUAACAGGAGCAAUAUGGGCAGGGGAAGAAGACGCUGUGCAAGAGACCUUCCGCUGCCUAACAAAAUCAUAACCGGACUUUGUAGUAUACAAACCAUCCACAGUAUGAGGCCAGUGCAACUCAUCACGUUUAGCUGUCAACGCAUGAAGCUCAAAAACCUGCUGCAACAAACUCAUUACCGUGCUAUCGGGCUGCACCUGCAAGCCACUCACCAUCGCGAACCACCAUCGUGAUGUAACCGGGCAUGCCAGAAGCACAUGGUCGAUCGUUUUAGAAGAAUGCUUCUCACCGCCCUCCAAGCAACCUCCUUGCAACGGGGAAGAGCUUGGACAUGCCAGAGAGAUUUCCAGAACUUAACAGGAGCAAUAUGGGCAGUGGAAGAAGAUGCUGUGCGAGAGAUCCUCCGCUGCCUAACAAAAUCAUAACCGCAGUUAUUUUAACAUGAUAAACAAACCCAUCACUCAUUUAUUUAACAAGCUUAAAUAUCAUCAAGAAAACCCAAGCUUAAGCACAAAUGGAUAACAUCGGCUUCAGAACUUAAACCAUAAAAAUGAGCAAGAAAAAGUAACUAGAUCACAAGCAGCAAGACCCAAAAAAGGGGGUUAAGUUAUAACCCACUAAGAAGCUUAAACAGAUCCAAUUGAGCAAAUGAUAUACCUUAGAAGGAAGCAAGUGGUAAAUGAUGAAACUUUAGAACCAAAACUUAAUCUUGACUGCAUAGAGUUCAUGAGCAUGAGAAGAAGGAAAGUGGUUAAGUGGUUACUCUGAGCUGAGUUGAGCUGAGCUGUGACUGAGAGAGACUCAGAUACCACCGACUGAAUUUAGAUUCUGGCAUUCAUAUUUUAUUUUAUUUUUAUUUUAUCUUUUUUGGAUAAUUUCUAUUAUUGUUAUAUUCCAGUUGGGUUUGUGUGUGUCGUGCACUCUUUCUCCAAUUCACCUGCACACUCAUUCAUUAAAUAUGUUAAGCCAUACAUAUAUACUUUCUAUGAUAUAUGUAUGGCUCAAACAGUGAUACUUGUAGAUGUUGUACUCCUUGUCCUCAAAGCAACAGUGGCAGCAGCAAAGAUUCAGAAGGUUCUUCUCAUAGAACAAGGACAGCACCAACAACUACAAGGAUGUUGGAUCAGACAAAUUCUUCUGAUGGUGUUUUGAAAAAUCUUGAUGCAGUUGAACCACACCAUAUCUCCAACCAUUCAGGUAUAUAUCGAACAGUUUCCUAGUGGAACAGGCAUGUCUUAGUUUAUAGUUCACUAUGCUUCUAAAACUUAGUAUUGUUUACUAAAUUGUUCAUAUGAUGUUUCAGUUAAUUGCCAUAGCUUCUCUUUGCCAUGUUUGGGCCAAAUCAAUUGAUCACAAUUUUUAGGGGAUUUGUUGUAAUUAACAUUUCUUGACUGAAUUUCUUUGAAGGCUGCACUUUUUGCAGGUUUUAUUGCUUGUUUAGUGAACAGAGCUCUGAUUAAACAGUUUUCUUCAUCUUAUUUUCAAGUUUUACAAAAUCAAAUUUUGGAAAACUUCCACUGAGUUUUUUGUCGUAAUUUGUUAAUGUUAUUUAUGUAUCAUACUGCUUUUUUUAGAUUCUGCAAUGUGAGCUUCUGAAUUCUGAUGUCAUGGAAAAUGAUUCAAUAUCUUCUGCCUACUUUUGCAUUUAGCGCAUACACUUGAUGAUAUAAGGUCACUACUGUUUUUCUUGUUUGUGUUUUAUUUGAAAUAGAGCAUCUGAUUGCUGUCUAUGUUAUUUUGUUUGUGUAAACUAUGGCUUUCAUAGUUUGAAGAGAACUUAAAUGAAUGAAAGCACUUUUAGGAUGUAAUUUUUUAUGUGGUGGAAAGAAGUACUUUUAAGAACCUAGUUUAUCAACAUGUUCUAUUUUGCAGUCACUGAACUUCAAGAAGAUUCAUCUAGGCAGAUUAUAGAAACUAUGUGGAACAAGUUCAGUUAAUUCUGAAAACAUCUUGGGGCAGAUUGAUUGCAUCUUAAAAGUCCAGAACAUGCCAAAGACAUUUGAUUGCUUUGAGGAAUACAGGGAAAAGGUGAAGAUUAAGGCUGAAAGCUUAGAGAUGACAAAAAUGAGGAAGUUCACAAAGCAAAGUAUUAGGAUUCAAUCCUGUCACAGGCAACAACCUGUUAUCCAAAUAGAAUAGGCUUCUCAUUCUUUCAAAUGGACAGAGUAAAUGUUGUGCUAGUUAUAUGUACCAUAAAAGCAAUCAAUUCCAACAUGAUCCAAGCAUAAAAUUCAACAAAAAAAGUCAAUGAGAUGCAACAGAAAACUUAAAUAACACACAUUCGGUUUCUAGUUUCUAUCAACAUAACAAAAUAUAACCUGUGUGAAGCCAUUGAAGUUGAAAAACCAAAAUCAAUUAACCAUUUUCUCAUAAAGACAAAUGAAUAUAAACCAGUUUUAUCCCUUCGUAAAAUAGAAGAGAUAGAUCCACAACUGCUCCACUUAAUUUUAAUAAGGUGAAAUUAAGCUUUCACAGCAAAUCGUGGCACAUGAUUUAAAUACGCGGUAAGUUGUUUCAAGAGGACUCAAUCUUUUAGUUCUGGGGUUGUAGAGGAAAUCUUCUGGCAAGAUGAGGAAAUCACCAUUGUCGAACCUAUAGAUAGGAAAGAAAAAGGGUAUCGGGAAGUCACGAGGUUCAAGAUCUUUAUCAUUACUAAUGCUGAGCAAUUUAGUCCAAGACUCAUGAAUUCCAAACUUCUUCAUCUGCCAAAUUACAAAAUUUUCUCCGUCAUUGUGAGAAACGCAGAGGCAUUCAUCCAAAACCCCCAGAUGUGGAGAACGGAACUUAUGGGGCGUAUCAGGCAACACCAACCUCACAAACUCCUCCUUAUUCAAAUCAAAAGAAAGAAUCAUGCAUGAGCCAUUGUCCCACUCAAAAUUGUCCCACUCAGAAUCAAAAUCCACCCACUCAUUGUUUCCCACAUAAUUGUUCUCAUUAAUUUUAUUAAUGACUAUCCAAUUAAGAGUCCCAUUCAAGUGAACUCCAAAUAUGUUCUUACCCUCCUCUAUAGGGGUAAGAUCAGGUGGGAAACAUCCAACACAUCUCCAACUAUUGCCACCCAUAUUAAAAACCAUCGCAUACUGGUUUCUCAUUAGGACUAACACCUUGUAAGUGUCACUCACGUAAUCAUAGCCAAACCCGCAAUAGACAAAGAGAUAGGAUAACUCAUCAUCGUUAGGCGGCAUGGUUUGGAACAUCUUUUGAGAUGUUGACUUCAUGGCUUGGAACAUUUGAGAUGUUGACUUCAUGGCUUGGAACAUCUUUUGAGAUGUUGACUUCAUGGCGGGAUUCCAGAAACAAACCCAAAAAAGUUGCUGUUCAUCAGAUGUGUCUUGGGUUCCAAUCAUGCACACCAACCCAUCACAGGAACCUAUUGUCAAGUAUCUGUCUUUCCAAUUGGAGCGUAAGAACUGCACUUCUUCAGCAACGGUUGGAGGAGGGGUUUUGAGAAAGGAUUUGACAUGCAAAGAUGAGAUGUGAUCGGCGUCGUUAUAUGGAGGGAAGAAUAUUACAAGUGGGUUGGCGUUUGGAGCCGAGGAUUGGCGAAGGUGUAGCUUCACAAAGUAGGUGCUGGAGAUGAGAGAGUUGAAUGAUUUGCACACCAACUUGAACCGCAUCAAGGAUUUCACAGAGAGACGUGAGAGGAUAUCCAUGAUGAGUUCCUCUGGGAUCAAUAGCCGGUUUGUAUGGAGUCGUUUCUCCUCUGGUUGCAUGGUGCAGCUAUGGAUGUGUAUCAACUAUCAACAGUGGCGGAGCAAGAAUUUUCGGGGAGCCUGGGCAAGAUUAAACCUAAGUCUAAUUAACCACAUUUGACGUCUGACCUAGAAUUUUAAAUUGCGAUUGGGGGCAUUGCAGUGUUGCGGCGUGAAUAGCAUGUUAGCAAAAUUCGAUAUGACAAGAGUUGGAUCUGGUAAACAUGAGUUCAAGUAAAGAGAAUUUUAUUUGAAUAUCUUUCAUUAGAAUUAAUUUUAGAUGUAUAACAAUCAAAUGAGUAUAAAUAUUAUAAUUAUAAAUGAUAUAUUUUAAAUAAAUAUAAGUAAUAUAUUAAAACAAAUUACUCCUUUUGACCAUUGUAAUAUAUAUUUUAGAUUUCUAUAGUUUGAUUAAAUUUUACGGACUCAAUUUUGAUAUUUUUUAAACUAUAUCUAUAUAUUUUUUUUCCCAAUCUAUAUACAGUAGUAUACUUUGAAAAAUAAUAUAACAUGUGGAAGUUAUGGGCUGAUGUAAUGUUAGUUUACACAUAUAGAUAAGCUCUUCGGCCUAGCCCAAUAUAUGGCUAUGUUUGGCAUGUCAUUUCAGCUAGCUUAUAGCUUAUUUGACUAGCUUAAAGCUUAUUUGACUAGCUUAAAAGCUCUUUAAAAGUGUUUGGUGAAGGAGCUUAUUUCAGUAGCUUAAAGCUUUGAGCUAUAAGCUAUCAGGUAGCUUAUAGCUUAUUAAAUUUAUUUUCUUUUUUAUCCUUAUUAAUUUAUUAAAAUUCUACCAUUACCCUUAUAUAUAUAUAUAAAAACACUAAACCUAUUUUUCAUCACANNNNNNNNNNNNNNNNNNNNNNNNNNNNNNNNNNNNNNNNNNNNNNNNNNNNNNNNNNNNNNNNNNNNNNNNNNNNNNNNNNNNNNNNNNNNNNNNNNNNNNNNNNNNNNNNNNNNNNNNNNNNNNNNNNNNNNNNNNNNNNNNNNNNNNNNNNNNNNNNNNNNNNNNNNNNNNNNNNNNNNNNNNNNNNNNNNNNNNNNNNNNNNNNNNNNNNNNNNNNNNNNNNNNNNNNNNNNNNNNNNNNNNNNNNNNNNNNNNNNNNNNNNNNNNNNNNNNNNNNNNNNNNNNNNNNNNNNNNNNNNNNNNNNNNNNNNNNNNNNNNNNNNNNNNNNNNNNNNNNNNNNNNNNNNNNNNNNNNNNNNNNNNNNNNNNNNNNNNNNNNNNNNNNNNNNNNNNNNNNNNNNNNNNNNNNNNNNNNNNNNNNNNNNNNNNNNNNNNNNNNNNNNNNNNNNNNNNNNNNNNNNNNNNNNNNNNNNNNNNNNNNNNNNNNNNNNNNNNNNNNNNNNNNNNNNNNNNNNNNNNNNNNNNNNNNNNNNNNNNNNNNNNNNNNNNNNNNNNNNNNNNNNNNNNNNNNNNNNNNNNNNNNNNNNNNNNNNNNNNNNNNNNNNNNNNNNNNNNNNNNNNNNNNNNNNNNNNNNNNNNNNNNNNNNNNNNNNNNNNNNNNNNNNNNNNNNNNNNNNNNNNNNNNNNNNNNNNNNNNNNNNNNNNNNNNNNNNNNNNNNNNNNNNNNNNNNNNNNNNNNNNNNNNNNNNNNNNNNNNNNNNNNNNNNNNNNNNNNNNNNNNNNNNNNNNNNNNNNNNNNNNNNNNNNNNNNNNNNNNNNNNNNNNNNNNNNNNNNNNNNNNNNNNNNNNNNNNNNNNNNNNNNNNNNNNNNNNNNNNNNNNNNNNNNNNNNNNNNNNNNNNNNNNNNNNNNNNNNNNNNNNNNNNNNNNNNNNNNNNNNNNNNNNNNNNNNNNNNNNNNNNNNNNNNNNNNNNNNNNNNNNNNNNNNNNNNNNNNNNCCAACAUCUUCAUCUUCUCCAUCCCAUCAUCUUCAUCUCAUUUUUUCAAUACCCAAAUUAAAAAACCAAGAUCUAGAACCUCAAUCUUAAAAUUUUUACUAACAACUCAAUCUUAAAAAUCAAACGCCAAAUAACAUUCCAGAUUCCCAUACAUAUUCUUCAAAAUUCAGAAAAUCAACCAAAGAAAGAACCAGAACAGAACCCCAAUUUCAGAGCAUAUGUUUCAUCAUUUUCAUCUCUAAAACCUAACAAUCUCAAAUGAGCAUAACCAGCCAAAUAACAUUGGUAGAAGCAGUGCGUGCGAUGGUGAUGGGCUCGGAGGAGAUCCCCAACUCAGAUCUCCAUCGAUCUGCUCUGUCCUAGUUCGAGAGAAGACCCAUCGUGCUUUCGGGAGGGGUGGUGGUGGCCAAGCCGUGAGUGGUGGUGGCGGCGGUGGCCAUGGAAGAAGAAACCCAGAAGAUUGAGACCCAUAAGUGGUGGUGGUGGCCAAGAAUCUCGUUCGAGAGCCCUAGAACCACACCCACCACCUUCAGUAACUUCAAUUAAUCCCAAAUGGUGUUUACAGUAACUCUUGAAUCGUUCUCUUUGUGAAAUCUGGAAAAUCUGGGCGUGGGUUUUUUCUUCUUUUGGGAUGAAAGGAAAUAGAAUUAGGGUUCUUUGUGAUGGUGAUGUUGAAAGGGUUUAUGAAAGGAGAAGAUGAAGAAGAAGAAGAUGGAGGAGGAGGAAGAGAGGAAGCAGAUGGGGAAAUUGGGGAAAAUGAUGUUUUGUGUCAAAAUUCAGAUCGUGGAGCGUUGGGGAAUUGGGGAAAAAUAAUCAGAUCGUGGAGCAUUGGGGAAAUUGGGUCAAAUUAUUUUUGUUAAUUAAAUUAAAAUGUCAUAUAUGUUAUUUUAAUUUUUUUUAAAUUCCACGUAGGCAGUAUUGACACAGUCAGCGUGACACUUCAUCACUCGCCGGAGCCCCGGGCUCCGGCGAGGACUUGCUCCAAACGAUUUAUAAAAAAGAGAAUCUUUUGCACAAAUUUUUCCGGUGAGGGACCUAGUUCAGACAGCGAGACAAAGACAAGGACCAAUUUUAGGAUUAAGCCUAUCUUAAAUGCCACUAAUUUAAAAACACAUUCCUAGCUAAUUAGGAGCUAUUUGUUAGCAAUUUUCAGAAGUGGCACUUAACUUAAAUGCCACAAAUAACCUUUUCAAUUUUAUAAUAUAUAACUUUUUUUUUUAACUUUCACUCGCACAGUUUCAGAAUUUUAAACCAAAAAGAAAAAAGAAAAAUCUGUUUCAGCUUUUCUUCCAAACUCUCUCACGCCAUUCACACUGUUUCUCCCAAACGCUCUCCAAACACUUUCACGCUUUCUUCCGAUUCACGAACGCAACAACCAUCGUCGUCCUCCCCGAUCGUCCGUCAAGCUCGGCCAUUGUGAAGCAACCUUCGCCGUCGUCCCUCUAUCACCACAUCGCAACAGAGCGACCACUGUUCCAUCUCCAACGCAGCCACACUCCACGCCUCGCCAUUGUGCUUGCAAGUUGCAAUGCUCCUUCCUCUGCUUCCAGAUCCAGCAAAUUCUCGUUCAUGAUACUCACCGGAGAAGAAACCCUAGAUCCGCGAUGCUCCAUGGCCGACACCUCCAGGAUUCCACUCCGGCUACAACCAGGUGGCGCAACAAGGUAGGUAGUCAGUGGAUUUGGUUUCGUUCGAUUUGGAGUUCAAAUCACCCAAUCAAGCUCGAGAGGUUGCGUUUCUUGCCCUUCUUCUUCUGAUUUGAUCUUGUUUCUUUGUUUCUUACUCGCAUGUACACUGAAUUGGAAAUUGCGGUGUCGGAGAUAGGAAUUGUAGGGCUAAAUCGUAUGCUCAGGUAAUUCUCAUUACCUCUGUAUUGGUGUUUUGCACAAUCUUACUUGCAUUGGUAUUCUGCAUGCAAUUUGAAUUGUAUUGCAUUGUGUUUGAAUUCACUACAUCAUUCCCCUUAUUAAUUCCUAGUGUAGAUCAUAUAACUUCUAGUUUCGCCAAUUUUGUGUUUUAGCAGCCAUCAUUAUUUUGGUCAGUUCAUAAUUUUAAUUGAUUUGACGCGGUUGAGGACUAGACAAAUUCAGUUCUUAGUCUCUGUAUCAUUAUAUAUGAUGUUUUCUUGACCAUAAUUCAUUUACUUAAGUCAUAAUCCAAUUACUAUUUUUGACAUUGUUGAAACUUAUGUAGACAUCAUAUUGAUUUAUCAAUGCAGAUAGCGCCAUUAUGCAAUCAGUAAACUAGUCAAUAUGGAUGAUACCAACACAUGCAUUAGACCAUUGUAAUGAUGAUUUGUUAAGCAUUGUAUCUUAGGGACUUAAUGUUAUAUGCAGAGUUUCUAAUAACCUUUGAUGUUAUCUUCUAUUUCCCUUUCUCUUCGAUUUCAUUAUCGAUUUAUUUGAUCUUUCAACUUUCUUGGAACAACAGCUUUGGUUUCACAGGUGACCCAGGAGGACUUUGACAGGGCACUAAUACCCACCAUUCACUAAUUUCAAAAAACUUCCAGCACACAUAGCUGCUAAGGCCUAUGAGCUUGGUGAGCCUUAGUUUUCAUUUUGGUUUUUGCACAUAUGCCUUAUAGUUUCUUGUUUUUAAUGCUCUUUCUAGUUAAUUAUAGAUAAAGUUAGACCAAUCAUAAAAAUUAAAUUCAAAUAUUGCUCAGGCUUGGCUAAAGUGGUGUUUUAUUCGAGCUCCACUUGCUUAGGUAAGUUUAUUCCACUUCCGCAUUAUUCUACAAAUUUUCUAUUAUGAUAAAGGUGUGUUCAACAUAAAUGGGAUACUGCAAAACUUAAAGGAAGUAUUCUGGAUGCUCAUGCUCAAGUUUUGAAUUAAAAACUAUUUUUGACUUCUAUGUUUGUAAUUCACUUUCAUGUGCAGUUUCGAACAUGAGUACCACUACCUCAUGGUGCAGUUUCAAAUUCACUUUCAGUUUAUAAUUUUUCUAGUCUUAUACUUUUAUCACCCUGUUUCCCUCAUUUGGUCUUCAUGUACAUGUUUCUCAUAAAUUUGCAUCCAUUUGGAAAGAGUCCUGCAAUUCCAGAUGGUAUUGAUUUUUUUCUGAUGAAGCUUCAUUCAUGAUGCAGAUAAUAGAGUUGGCAUUUAAGGUGAGAUUCUUAAUAUGUUUAUUCACUGAACUAAUGUUACAGAUUCUUAAUAUGUUUGUUUUGCUUUAUUCUACUUAGUGAUGAAAUGACAAAGGUUAUCCAUGGUGGACAGAAGAAACGAAUAUGAAUAAGUUAAUGUCAUCUUCAUUUGAUGCUUAACCAACAAACUAAUGUUAUUAAAUAUUUUAUUUCUCAUAUCCGAUAGUUAAAUUAACUAAUGAAUUUGUAUUCUAGUGGCUUUUUAUUGUUCUUAAUUUCUCACAACCGAUAAGUUAUUAAAUAUUUUUUUGAUUCUUUUUCAUUGUGUAGAGAGUUCUAAUGUCUUUGAUUUUCUGAAAGAUAUUGUCAGCAAGGUUCCUGAUUUAGGCUGGUUUGUUCCAACUGGGGAAGUACUGUCACAAAGAGGUUUGUGCUUCAUUUCAUACUCUUGUUGCUUUGAGCAAGUUCUGUAGGCUUGUGUUGGUAGUUUACAUAUAUCUUCGUGUAAUUGAUUUAUGUACUUUGGUGUUUCAAUCUGUGUAGGAUGUAUAUUCAUCUAAGUCUCAUGUUGCAAUGAGUCUUACUCCAGCUAGUAUUUGCAGUUUACAACUUUGGAAGCUGGAACAAAUAUAUACAUUUCCUAUCAUGUUCAUGGCUUCAUGCCCAUUUGCUAGUGUGCUAGCAUGUGAAAUCUUGAUGCAUACUCAGAAUUUAGUAAAGAUGUUUCAUAUUUGAGACAUGGAAAAACAGUAAAUUGUAAUUUUUUUUUUUCUGAUGAGUGACAGAACCACCUUUGAAGAGUGGUCUUGCAAUUAUGUAUAACAUAAUCUUGCUCAUGCUUAUUAAUAUUCAUUAUGUUCCUUUUAUCUUAUUCUCUCUCUGCUUACUUUGGUGAUUAUGGAUUAACUAAUCACCAACAUAUUAGAGAUUUUAAGAUUUAAUUUAAAUAUAUUUACGAAUAAGAAAAAAAUGAAAUAUUCACUUGGUAAAGCUAAUUUGGUGAUGUUUCAAAACCUGUAAUGAUUGAUGCAUUCGUGGCAUUUACAAGGUGCCAGUAAAAUUUAAGCCUAAUACAAUGGUAGAUGCAUUUGUGGCAUUUAAAAAAUGCCUGAAGGGAUUUGUGGCAUACAAAAUCGGCAUUUAAGCAAAAAAUGCCACAAAACAGUUGUGGCACCUGUAAUAGAGGCACUUAAAGGUGAAUGCCACUAAUAACACUUGGGGCAUUUAAUAAAUGCCACAACUUAACAAUAUCAAUGCCACUAAAUAUACAUUUUUUUGUAGUGCAUGCAUAUCACGUUAGGCUCUAAACAAUAUCAAAGGAAUUUAAAUUCAAAUCUUUUUUUUACGGGAAAGUAAGACAUUUAAAUUCAAAAUAUAAUAUUAUAGUAUCAGAUUUUUUAUUCAAAAUUCAAAACUUUUGACCACCGAAGUUAAAAAAAUCAUUCUCGAUGGUUGUUAUGUAUUUUUUUUUCUUUAAUAUUUUGAAUUUCAAAUAGUUAUGAUUUUUCAAAAAGAAUAGGUUUAGUGUAUGAUUAAUCAAAGUUUCAUAUUGAUUAUUUAUUGAAUUUUGAUUGAUUGACACGUGCCCAUUAAAGAUGAAGCUCUAUAUGAUUGACACGUAGGAUUCUGAUGAGUCUUAAACUAUAUAGUAUUAGAUAAAGAGAGAGGCACACACUAGUUAGAUACACACGUAAAUAAUUGUUUUGCCUUUUUUUUCCAAUAUUUGUGGUUUUGAGUAUGAUAAUGGGCUAAUGGCCCAAAAAAACAGAAAAGGUUAGGAUUAAGGCAACCCAAUAUGACUAUAGUACAAGAGGAAAGACCAAAACUACGAACGAUGACCAUUUUGACUAUUUUGAUUGUGCAUGCUUCAUGAGAAUGAGAAUUCACUUCACUUCCGGCUACUUCACCACUUGCCUCCCACUCUCCCAUCAAAUCCAAUCACUAUUCUUAUGAUCUUAUCCUCUUUUCCCCCUUACCAAAAUAUUAAUUGAGUAAAAUAUUUGUCUCAAUAAAUCUUUCUUCAUACCAUAAUUUAUAAGUAUCAAACUCGAGCCAGAUAGUUUAUGCUAGAAUUAUUAAAAAAAAACUAUUAUGCAUGAUAUGAACUCAACUCUUCAUUUUUAAAUUUAGAAAAAUGAACAUACAUACAUUAUACAAAUAAAUACACCAUUGUUUCUUCUCUUAUUACAUAAUUUUCUUUCCAUAUAAUAAGCAUUCUUUAACUUUAAUUUAACAGAAACAUAAUUUACACGUCAAACAAAACGACAAAAGCAGCUUCAGCAACCUUCAUCCAUCGUCUUCACAUUCACACCAGCGUCCUACACGCUGAAGUCUUCGGGUCCCACAUCGCCGGCAACAGGUACUUCCUCCCGUUCACCCCAUGCGCAUUGUAACUCGCCCCUGUACUCUUCUCCACCAAAACCUGACCCGGGUAACCCGGAUACGACCCGCUCCCGAAAACACCAGUACAAGCUGAAACCGCCUCCAACGGCGCCGUCGCCGGACCCUGAAAGUAUCCAUUAUUGAACGGAUUCGUGACGGUACCAGCAAGCAAGGUUGCCAAGUUGAUGAUCAUCCCGUCCACACCGACAUCGCCGUUGGGCGCCACCAGCGGCGGCGUCUGCGGGCCGUAAAUAGGCUGAUGAAACGGCCACGCGCAUUGCCCCGGGCACUGAGUCUCAGAGUUUCCAACCCAGACGUAAGCGGUACGGGUGUUUCCUUUCACGGGUCGGGUUGACCCGUGAGUCCCGCAGCGGCUCCGGCAGAAGCCAUCGACGGCGACGUCCUUGGCGGUGAGGAUGACGUUGAUGGCGGCGAGGUCGUUGAAGGUGGAAGCGAGUGAUACAAGGUGAGUUUGUUGGAGACUCUUCCCGAGGGUAUAGCUAGGGUGUAUGGUUUGCUUCCCUACGACGAGUGCAGAGGAUCCUGAUCCUAGCUUGUAAUUCUCGGUGGUUUUCCACCAUGAGGCUACGGAGGGAAGUGGGGCCCCUGGGGUGGUGGUGAGUGAGUUGAUGAAAUCAACGAUUAUGGAGCGUUGGAUUGGAGUGAAGCUCCCGUACCAGAAGAGAUUAACGGUGAUCCUCCCUUUGAGGAGUUCACCGUUGUGGUAUUUUAGAACCAGUGGUUGCUGCUCUACCAGCGCUGCACUCGCCGCGCCACACAGUAACAGAACCACAAAUGCAGUGGCAUGAUGGUAAUUAGACAGCACCAUUGUUUUGAGGGUCAAAGUUUGAAGAAUGAUAUGAAAUAUGAAAUUAGUAUUGUGUUUGUGAGGGGAGGGAAGUAUAUGUAUUUAUAGUGUGGGAAGAGGAAACAGGUGUUAAUUAACAUCAGAAGGGUUCCACGUGGAGGUUUGUAAUUUGCCACGACUGUUGCCAGGCUGUAAUGUGAUGAAGUGGAUGACGUGGCGUCAAAACUGGUGUCUAUUGAAACCCGCAUGCACGAAGAAGAGGAUUUGAUUUAUGAUGAAUUGACCUUUCUCAGUUCUCACUUUAAUUCACCAGUAAUGAUAUAUACACACCUCAUUUUUUAAACACUCUAUUUCCAUCUCUUUUUAUUUCUAUCUCUCUCCUCUUAUCAUCUAUCAUAUCUCAUACUUUCUCUUUCUUACUUUUUAUUUUCUUCCUAUCUCUCUCUUCCUUCCACCUCUUUCCACCUCUUAAAGAGAUGUGUACAUAACAUUAUUCUUAAUUCACACGCACACAGGGUUGCUAUAAUGCUAGCUGUUCAUGUAGCUAGCUACCACACAAUACCGUAUCCUAUACUCCUAUUAUAUACUAUACUAUACUAUACUAAUAUUAGCCAUGUAAUUUGGGUUGAGAUCAGGUAUCUGCAGAAGCAACACAGGUUUUGGGACCGAAUUAUGUGGGUCCAGUGUGGAAUUCCACACGCAAUGGCUACGAUGGGUCAUGGCAUGGACAGUGACGUUCUUUUCUUAAUUUUUCUUUGUUUAUUUUAAAUUUAACUAGUCUAGUAUCAGUAUGUAUAAUAAUAUAAUGGUACUAGUCAUAGGGUCAUGGCAUAUCUUAAAGUAGUAGAGGGUAAAUUAAAAAUAGUACUACUGCUAGUGGUAGAGCAGGUUACCUAGUGCGUGCCUGGGUUCUGUGACUGUGGGGGUUUAGGUGGGGGAGGUGAGGGGUCAGGAAGGUAUCAGGCUCCAUUACUCUAAUACGUCACCGUAUUCAUCAUAUCAUAUUUAAUUUACUCAUACACUAAAAAAAUGUCAAGUUAAUUGUGUUUGGAUAUAUAUAUUGUGAAUUUGUGAAACAACUUUCACCAUUUACAUUUUCAUUGAGUUUAAUAUAUAUAUAUAGAUUCACCUUAAAAUUAAUGUUUACGUGUCGUCAUAUGUAGUUGUAAUGUAAACUUAUCAACAAACACACUGCAUAUGUACCUAUACAAAAUUCAGAAUUCAAAUUUUUUCUCAUCCACUAGGUUUGCUUAAUUGCUUGCCUUUUCUUUAUUUUGUUUCUUCGUUUGUGCCCACUAGUGUUUUGAAAUUCUCAAGGAACAUAUUGGGACGGUGCCGACUCUAAAAAUUGCGCACUUUAACCACAAUACUUGGACAGAGCCACUUCCAUAUGUGAUUUUUUUUAUGGUUUUUAGAAUUCAAACCGAGACUCCAUGAUUACAUGCCCGGAUAGCAAGCCACUACUAGAAAACACUCAAAUUAGGACGGAAUUUUGCGACGGAAAAAAAUUCCGUCACAAAAUAAUUCGUUUGCGACGGAUUUAGCGACACUUUUUUGUCGCCAAGGUUUUUUAAAACAUUAAUUUAACAUUUUGGGACAGAAUACAAAUUUCGUCACAAUUUAGGGACAAAAUUAUAUAAAUUGUCGCAAAUUUGCGACGAAUAAUAAAAUUUCGUCCCAAUGGAAAUAUUUAUUUUGGAGGGAACCAAGGCGCCAAUUUUGGGGACGCAAUAAUUUAAUUAUUCCGUCCCAAUUUGUGACAGAGGUAGUAAUAAUUUUCCGUCACAACUGUUAUUUACAAAUUUAAUCUAUUUUUUGGGAAGAAGUUUGAAUUUUGUCACAAUUUCGUGACGACUAUAUAUAAACUGUCGCAAUGUGCGGACGACAUUUAUAUUCCGUCCCAAUAUAAAUAUUUAGUUUUGGGGGGAAAUCAAGGCACCAAAAUUGGGGACGCAAUAAUUUAAUUAUUCUGUCCCAAUUCGCGACUGAGGUAACAAUAAUUUUCCGUCACAAAUGUUAUUUAAAAAUUUAACCUUUUUUGGGACGGAGUUUGUAUUUUGUCACAAUUUCGUGACAAAUAUAUAUAAAUUGUCGCAAUGUGGGGACGACAUUUAUAUUCCGUCCCAAUUUGAAUAUUUAGUUUCGGGGGGAAAUGAAGGCGCCAACAUUGGGGACGCAAAAAUUAAAUUAUUCCGUCCCAAUUUGUGACGAAAUUAGCAAUAAUUUUCCGUCACAAAUUUUAUUUAAAAAUAUAAGCUAUUUUUGGGACGGAGUUUGUAUUCAGUCCUAAUUUUGUGACUAAGUUAUAAAAAUCGUCGCAAUGUGGCGACGACAUUUAUAUUCCGUCACAAUUUGAUUAAUUAGUUUUGGGGGAAAAACAACGCUUCAACUUAAUAAUACCUUGUCCAUUUUGAUAUGGGCUUAUACAGGUUACUCCGCUUAACUUGCAGGUUGCGGACUUGCUGACCAAUAUUUUUUACAUUUUAAAAAAUUUAAUUAAAAGUCCAAAGAGAAUAAGUUUUAAUCAUUAUUAUUUGAUUUGAUGAUAUUAAUAGAUUUUUGUAAAUAUCUUACAAUUUUGAAUAAUUGAUAAAUAUUUAAUUUUAUUUGUACUUUAUUUUCAUUUUUAUUACUUGGUCAGUCCCAUACAAUCCAAGUAAGUCGCAGACAUAUGUGUUGCAAACUCCGAGCAAUGAAAAGUCAGGGGCAUAUGUUUUGUGGAUCAACCCAGCCUAGUUCGUUUAUUUUUAGGCCACAUGGAAUGGCCUUAACAAAUUCUCAGGCAAAUUGAACUUUAAAUGAUUAUAUGCAGAUGUUGUAGUUAGGUUUCAUGUUGAUCUUACAGGUUUAAUAAACUCAAUGAGGCUUUGUGUUGUAUAUAAGGCACACCAGACCCAAUACAAAUCAAUGACAAACUUAUGGUCCAUCAAUUCCAUUUAGGCUUCGUAUUACGCACAAGGCUCAUUAAGUCCAAUAGAAGUCGAUUAUUGAUCUUAUAUGUCCAUCGAGUCCAAUUAGACUUCAUUUUGACCUUAGAGGUUACCCAGUACGAUAAUACCUCUAGUUGAUCUUCAUUAUUCAAUGGGUUCAAUCAGGCUUUUUUUUUACUUCAAAUGUCUAUCUGACCUAAUUAUGCUUCAUGUUGAUCUUAGAAGUUUGUAUAACCUUAUUAGGUUUCAUGGUAAUCUCUAGGGCCCAUCACAACAUAAUGAGGUUUGACUUCAUGCCGACCUCAAAUUUUUAGUUUUAACUUUUUUAAAUUAUAUAGAUAACACACACUUAUCUCAUACUCACUUCUUCUAUCGUGAUUAUACUCAUAAAAAAAUAUAUAGUUCGGAUAUAUAUUAUCAUAAUUAUAUAAGAUAUUCUUAAAGUAUAUAUUAUUACUUUUAUUUAAAAUAUAAAACCAAUACGUUAAAAAAAAACUUGUUACUAUUAAUAAAAAUAUAUUGGAAUUAUAAAAAAGAGAAUAUAGUAAAAUAAAAUAUACUUAUUUGGAUACUAAUUUUGUUUCAAUUUAUGUUUCAAUUUUUUCCCUCACUUUCAAUUUUUUUUCCCUCGUUCAUUCCUAAAUCCUGAAUUUUGUUUCCCUCAUUCCUAAUUUCUUGCCCUACAUUCUUUGCCUCACGUUUCAUUCUCUCUCUCUCUCACGUUUGAAUGCCGUCAGUGGUAGUGCCUGAUCGACGAUGCCCUCUGGAUUUUAGCUUCGCGAGAAUGGAAAACGCCGACGUUUUCCUCGGCUUACACGACUUCCGAUUUCGUCAAAGCAAUCAAAAGGUUCUUCUUCAUCACUCUGUGUAAAUCGUAAUCGUGAUUUAGGUUAGUUCAAUUUGGAACCCUCAAAUCUAGGGGCGAUUAUGCAGUUUCAUUGUUUCGUUUGAGCCACCGCCUUGUGCCUCUGAUAAUAUGCUAUACCCCAAUUUCCAGUAUGUUAUUUGGAGAAAGGCUCCUCUCUAUUUUUAUUGAUGGUUAUGUGUUUUGUUUAUGUAAGGAUGUGAGUUAUUUGAAUGUGGUAAAGGCCGACGUGUACUUACCUUAUGGAAUUUAUUUGUCUUUCCGCUUCUGCCCUGAGGAUAACAGAUAUACUAAUGGAUGCUGAGUGUUGUGGAUCCUACCUAUGUUGAACAAGCUACUUAGUUCAUUGCAGGACACAAAGUCAUUUUUUCAUCUGAGUACAAAGAUUGUUAUGCACACGUUGUUUCAUCCUUGAAAAGUUUAUUCCCGAUCCUUUGCUGGUUCAGAAUUAUGACGCCUUGAAGUCUAAAGAUGAUUUGAUAGCUGGUUUAACUCUUGCCAGCCCGAGCAUACUUCAGGUGACAGGUAUAUAUUACUUGUGAAAUUCUAAUUUCAUACCAAACACCAAAUUGGAAACAUUACAUGUGCCUUAGCUUUUUUCCUUCACUUUUAUAAUAUGUCUAUUGUCUGAUGUUAGAGUAUAAUAUAUGGUUGUUUAGGAAGACUUGAUCCUCAAUGUGGCUUGUGUAUGUAUCUUCAAUUCAUAGUAAGCAUGAAUUGAUGUCUGCGGCAAAGAUCUUAAACAUGUAUUUAGAUCCAAUGGUUAGAACAAUUAAAAUUAUUUUAUGAUUGCUCAUUUCUAUGACAGAUUGGUUGCAAUGUGACCAUUACGAAUGGAAGACCAUCCAUUGUCACUGUUGCCUUAGGUAAAGGGUAUUUUGAAACCUUAUAUACAUCUGAAUUCUUUCUGUUUAUUUACUACUGCUUUUCCAUGAAUACAACAACUAAAUUGUCUUUCACACAUCCAUUCUUCAGUUUGGUUAUGACCUUCUAGAUUGAGAAGCAAAAGAGGGAGAUUUAAGCACACAUAAAGAUGUUUGUGAACUAAGGAGAGACCUGAAUCCUAUGUUUGCAAGAGAUGCUUAAAGGCCUUGGUAAUAUUUUGAUUAUCUUAUGUUACUUUACAUUGUUCACUUAAAUCUUACUUUACUAGUUUAUGAUUCAUUUUUUUAAUUUCUUGUAACUGCAGCUGUUUAUGUUCUCUCGUGGAAGAACAACAAGGUAUCUGCUGGUGCACUUGGAGGUACUAAACUAUACUAAGAAAUGGUAUAUUAUCCUUUGUUGUUUUAGAUGCUCACUCGUGUAUUCUCUUUAGACUAGUUAUUGAGUGCUACUCGCAGGUAGAUUUCUUAUGGCAUGUUAAAUUAAAUAUACUUUUAAUCACUAGACAUGAAAACUAGUAAACAUAUUGGAGAAGUUUCAUACCAGCUAAUUUGUCUCUAUUGCUCUUCAUUAUUUGCGUACUGUUUACAAGCAGGUGUCUAUCUUCUUUAAGUGUCUUUGGUCCUUGUACAUUUAGAAUUAAUAUGUUUCUAAAAACUAAUAUUAAAUUUUUGUUUUCUGAAAAUUUCUAGCCUGGUACAUUUUGGUUAAAUCCUCCCCUUUCAUUAUUGUCUAUAAUGAAUAUUAUGUGCUUCUCUUCUAUGUAGCAAGCAUCAUGUAUAAGUUUUUGCAAGGAUAUGUUAAUAAAGCUCACAAAACUUGUGUAGUAGCUUGGGAAGGAACUCAGAUGAUGACAAAGGACAGGUAGAGGGAAGGACUUUGAAGGAAGUAUUGAAACCAAUUGAUGACGGUUAGUUCCUAUGCCAUCAUGCAUAAUGUGAACAUAAUCUCUUAGACUUAGAUCCAUCUAUCUAUCUGGUUACAUACAACAAAUAUGACAUUUUAUUAUUUUAUAGUCUUGUCUUUUUUCCAUUUAAUUUAGUUGCCUUGUAUUAUACGUUAUUGACACUAUGAAUCUGAUAGGGUCUAAUUAAUCUGAAACUCCCAACAAAGAAGUUCUAGCAACUCCCAACAAAGCACCAGCGGCAACCCCACUAGCUAUGAAGAAUUCAGAAUUGCAAACCCAGAUAAAUCUUGCUCUAAAAGAUCUAUAAAAAGCAAAAGAACAAUUGAGAAGCUAAAAGAAGCACAAAGAGUAACUAAGGAAGCAAAUGAGAAACUUAUGGAGGCAUUGGUGGCUCAAAAACGGGUUGAGGAGGAUUCUUAAAUUGAGAAGCUCCGCAGUUUUGAAUCCGGACAUGCUGGAAUUGAAGCUAUUCAAAAGAUGGAAGGGGAUGGUAGAAAGAGUAAGAAAGAGCUUUGAAGGUGUAAGGAACCAGCAUGCUUAGUAUGUGGCUUGAAAAUAAGUAAACUCUAAGUAAUUUUGGUAUUUUUUUUAUAGGUGUGAUCUUUAUGAAUUACAUGAAGCUUGUUGUUAAUUGAAAUUCAUUUAUCUCUUUGAUCAAUGAAGAGUUGAUUCUUGAUUAAUGUUAUUUUCAUAUUUUGUUAGUUAUUAUUGCAGUUUAAUUUGGGAUUUCUUACUAAUUUACUUAAAAUCAGAAUGUGAAGAAAAUAAAAAUGGCUAAAAAUUGGGGUGUUUUCAGUCCCAAAGCAAAUCUUCAACUCAGUGACGGAAAUAUUUCGUCACAAAUUUGGGACAGACUAUGUUGUUCUCAGUUCCGUCACAAAAUAUUAUUCUAUCCGUCACUAACUCCGUCACAAAAUAUUAUUAUAUCCGUCACUAACUCCGUCACAAAAUAUUAUUAUAUCCGUCACUAACUCCGUCACAAAAUUAUUAUUUAAAAAAACGAAAACUUAUUAAAUUCCGUCCCAAAAUGCGACGGAGUGAAAGAUUCUGUCGCAACUAAUUUAUUAUUUUCUGUCACAAAUUUCGUCACGAAAUUCAUAUUUUAAAAAUAUAAUUUAUUAUAUUUUGUCUCCAUUUCCGUCCCAAAUUUGCGACAGAGUAAUAAAUUCUGUCGCAAUAUUUUUGCGACGAGCAAUAUAGCGACGCAAUUUUUCGCGUCACAAUUCCGUCCCAAAAUUAUUUUGGGACGGAAAUUUUAACUAGUGUGCGACAGAUUUUUCCGCCCCAAAUUAGUGUUUUUGUAGCAGUGGCAUUAUCAAAGAGUAUAAAGAAACCAAGGACGCUAGCUCGCACACAACACACACGUGUACGGUGUACUUUUGGAUAGAGGAAAUAUACAUGCAUCAAAAUCACAUCAUUGAAAAGUUGAUAAAUAAAAAGCAAGCAGCUACUAAUUAAUAGUAAAAAGUUUGUUUGACCCUUUUGUCCCGGAAUUGCCACGUUUUGAUUUUGGGUUUUAGCCCAAAAAGAACGAAAGGGAAACAAGAAGGGAAUGUGAACGUGAAGCUUCGUUGAUGUGGCCUUUUUUUAAUAUAUAUAACUAGUCAAGAAAGAAAGAAGAACAGAAUUAUGAGAAGUGGAUAAAAAGAAGGGACAAGGCAAUUAGGCAAAAUGAUGGGUGAGAUACAUAGAAGGGUCACGUGUAAGAAGUAGAGAGGAACAAACAAGGAAAGGAUCAGUUAAUGCACAAUGAAGCAAGUAGGAUUAUGAUUAGGAUUAAUUCGACGCAGACCAAUGCCAAUCUCAGUUAAUGCAAGUUAGUUACGAUGGUACCCGCGCUGAUACGCCACUCAUGUACAAAGGAGAGCCAAAUAAACUCAAAUUCAGACUCUUAAUUGCUCUUAAUUGGUGAGGGUCAACUUUUGCAAAUUUAAUUUGCUAUACAAAUUCAACUUAAAAAUAAUUACUUUAUAAUAACUUUCUACAUUUUUUAGGAAACAUGAAGUUCUGGUUUAGUUCUAAUAGAAAAAAUUUGAUGAAGUAUUAACUUGAAAAGAGAGUUGGUUAGAAUUUCUCAUUUAAGGAGUUUGAUCAAUGCAUCCAUUCAAUUACUCGAGGAUUUGAUAGUGGAGGAAGUUCUUCAAAGGCUCAAAGAAGACACUUAAUAGUAAUGGUUAAAGUUUCUUAAUGACCUAAAGCAUGGAAAUCAUAUUGUUAAUCAUAUUGGAAAUGAUCGAGGAGGUUGAGACUGAUGACCACAAUGAUCCUAGAGUUGAUUGGCCGUCUGCCUACAACAAUAUUCUCAUUAAUUAAUCACCCAUCAUUGGGAUUUUGGAGAAAAAAUAAUGUCCCUUUACAUCAACUAUUCCUUCUCUUUUCACUCUGUAUAUUUAAUGAAACAAGUGGAGAGAAUACAUACUAGUGAUAUUUUCAAUUCUAUCAUAUCAAACAACCAUGGUUGUCAAUCUCUAGAGAUUACCUAAUCUCGUGAAGGGGAGGUAAUCUCAUAACGUAAUCUCAUAAGAGAUUACCUCAUGCAAAAAUAAUACUUUUAAAACUAUAACAAUGAUUAAGUCACACUAAUAGUACUAAAAAUUAUCCAACAAUGACAGUUAAAAUCAUGCAUAAAAUUACCAAAUAUCCAAACCUAAGGUACAUAAGUCAUAAAAAGUUAACAAAACAUCAAUACAAGUUAGGAUAAACUUAAAACAAGAACAAAUAAGUCACUAGGUAUCUAAAUUUAAGGCUUAAUUCCACUUUGGGCCCUGAUCUUUCAAAAAUGAGCGAUCGAGGCCCCCCGUGUUUAAACGUAGCGGUCAGGCACCCCAACGUUUCAAAAACGUGCGUUUCAAACCCUUCUGUUAAGUGUCGUUAGUUUGACUAACGGAACUAAUGACGUGGAUUUUCUUUUUCAUUUUAAUAUUUUUUUUUACCCAAAAAUCCCCCCCCCCCCCAAAUUCUUUCUCAAUCUCGACAUCUCUUCACUUUCUUCUUCAUUUUUCUCUGAAAACCCUAAAACCACACAACAUCAUCUUCUUCUUCAUGGUCGCCGCCGCCGCUCUUCGGCCAAGCCACCACCACCACGAGCUUCCUCACGCGAGCUCGCCGCUGGCCACACCACCAUCACUGCGCCUCCUUCUUCUUCUUCUUCUUCUUCCUUGAGAGCCACCGCCGCUGGCCACACCACCAUCACUGCGCCUCCUCCUUCUUCUUCUUCCAUGAGAGCCACCGCCGGUCACACCAUCACCUCCUCAUCAUCCUCGCGCGAACCUAAAGGGCAGCCACCAUGGCCACCACGUGGAAGCCAUCACCACCAUGAAAACCUAGGAUCGCCGCCUUCAAAGUCCGAUCUACGGUGAACCGCUCACGAUCUCGACAAACCAACACCACCGCUGUGCUCAUCUCCUCGUCCGCAACAAAACCCACAAAGAAAUUUCCGAUUCCGACGACCUCCGCCGUGAACCGCCGUGCGCCGCCGCCGGAGGCGAUUUCCGGCGACUCGCCCUCUUCUCCUCUUCUCUUUCUCUUGCUAAAUUAGGGUGAAAUUAGGGUAAAACAUUGGAAACAAAUCCUAAUUGUGGUAAAGAUGCUGAUCAGUGUGAUGAUGAUAAGUGUAAGAGUGCAUUUGAAAGCAUUUCUGCUAUUUCUGCUCUUUAUAGUGAUGACAUUCCUGCAGAUAAGUUAACAGAUGAGAUGAAGAAAUUGAACAUGAACCAUUCUGAGGGUGUUGAUAUCACGAGAGAUUCAAUGAAUUCAUUUGUAAAUAGUAAAGCUAGUUUUGUGUUUGGAGGAAGUGACAAGGUUUUUGGCUGUGUUAAUGAUAGUUCCGGAGUUAAUCUUGAUGGUACUGAUGCUGAUUUUGAUAAUAUUGGAGGGAAACAUGUCAAAGCAUGCAGAGAAAAUGACGUUCAAAAUGAAAUUGGUUGCGGUUCUGCAGGAAUACCUUGCACUGAGCCAUCCACUAGUCAGGAAGGUGCCAGAGAUUUCCAGGGUGGGGGAAUUGGGUUUGUGAAUUGAGUGGGAAAAUCCUGGGUCAAAAAUUUAAUGUUAAACUAAAAAAAAUUCCACGUCAAUUAAUGAAAGGGCCUCCGUUUGGUCAACUAACGGAGCUUAACAGAAGGGGCUGGAUCGCACGUUUUUGAAACGUUGGGGUGUCCGACCGCUACGUUUAAACACGGGGGGCCCCGAUCGCUCAUUUCUGAUACAUCAGGGGCCCAAAGUGGAAUUAAGCCUAAAUUUAAAAUCCUACAACACCGUCGAACUUAGAACAACUAGAAUCAUCAUCUCCAUCAUCUCCAUCAUCACCAUCAAGUUUUUCCUCAGAUGAGAUAGACUUGGACUCUCCAACAUUAGAAUCAAUAACCAAUUUCUCAAUGUUGUCUUGAACUAAUACAAUGAUAUCCACAAUAUCAUCAUGACCAUCCAUCAAUAUCAUUCUCCUCUAUAUCCACCUCUUUAGUUAUCCAUUCAUCAUCAUAUUGGAUUUCAUCAAAAGGAGGAGGAAGUCGCGUCGGAGGAGGAGGAAGUUGCGUUGUUGGUCGCACGAGAGGAUGAGUGAAGGAUGCGCACGCAAAGAUGAGAUAAGAAGUGGAAAGAAUGAAAGAGUUGAGUGACAAGAACGACAGAGAUGAGUGAAAACCCUAAAAUUUGUGGGUUAAAUGACUGAAAUGGCCUUAGACAAAAUAAUUUUUGACAUUUUUAACAAAACAAACCAAUCUCGUAAUCUCGUGGUAAUCUCGAGAUAUUACACGAGAUUAAGAGAUAUCUCGAGAUAUCAGCCGAGAUUUGAAAAAACAACUAUUACCCACCGCUAGUCUCGUUUUUAGUACGUGAUAUCGUAAUCUCGUAAGAGAUUAAGAGAUAUCUCUAGAGAUUAACAACAAUGCAAACAACUAUAAAAAUCUACUUAUUUCUCAGUACUUUCUCUCUCCUCAUCUUAUUUCCUCUCAACUUCUCUUUUUACAUAUAUUUUUUUUUCUACCAACAAGCACACCAUUAAGUAACUCUCACCAUCUAAACACAUCUUGAAUUGAAUAUCAUAACAAGCAUAUGAGAUGAAAUUUAUUUCCCAUUCGAUUAUUUUAUGUCAUCGAUUUGUUUGUUUUGAAAGUAUAUAUCAUCCGUAAUUAUUAUCUUCCCCAAUAAUAUCAAAUCCGUAUCUGUGCUUUCAUCACCUGCAGGUUGGCUAUGGUCUGGCGUGCCCCUACGAGAUGUGUGUCUCUCAACCUCCUCCCCUUCAUCAAUAUCUCGUGCAUUCAUGGAUAUUGAGGAUAAUGGUCUAUAUACGCACGUUAUUAAUCUUAAUUAUUGUGAAUACUGAAUAUUGAAUAGUUUGUCUCAUCCUUUUAUUUAAAAUACUAUAUCAACUAAAUGUAUAUCACAUUUAAUACUUUAAAUCUUAGAAAUAUUUAAAGAACUAAAAAUAAAUUGUUUGUUUGUCAGGAAUAUAUCAAUUAUCUAUGAAAUUAUUCUACAUGCCAAUCAUUUGGUAGGAGGUGAGAGCAUUUAUGAAACCUAGCCCCACGCCUCACCAAUGAGGAAUGAAACCCAUUGUGACAAAAACAAAAGUACAUACAGUUCACAAUAAUGCAGUGUAGAAUAUGGGGGCACCUACAUUCUAGUUGCUACAGCUAGCUAGCUGCCUUUGGUGCAUUUUGGUGAAGACAUGUUUCUUCCUUUGCGGAGGUUAUAGAUUAACAUUUAAUAAAUGCAACUUUAGGGACCAUGGAAUCUCUUCAUUUUUCAUGAAAAAGAGGGGACAACCAAAUGAGAGUUUUGGGCGUCAACACCUACCCAAAGCCGCGCCGUUCCAAAAUUGUUUGGACUUUGGAUGGUGGUAGUAGUACGUAGGUGGCUAAAUAAUCUUCAUGGAAAUUAAACAAUAUAUCAGAGUGGUGUUUUACAUAAUUUUAAUUGAAGACUUGUUUUACGUUAUUACAAUAAGUAUGAACUAUGAAUAUACCUAAAAUGAUUUGUGUUUGGACUUGAGGUGAAAUUAAUUUUUGUCUUGAAACGCGUGUGAACUAAAAACCAAAUACACACUAGUCUUGUAAAAGUAUGCUAAGUUCGUAAGAUUUAAGAAAGUGCACAUAAAUAUUUCACAAGGAAGACUCUGACUAAAUUCCUUAUGAAAUAUGUUGCUCUAACUUCUUAGACAUUAAUAUAUAUAUAUAUAUAUAUAUAUAUUUUAAAAAUUUGUUAAAGUAUUUAUCUUAUAUUAAUUAUGUUUGACUGAAAUAUAGUUUAAAUUAUCCACUAGAAUUAUCAUCAAUUAUUUAUUUGCUAGUCUAUAACUAUAUGUAAUUAAUAUUUUUCUUUACUUUUCGUAACUUCAAUUAUUUUACUUAUUUUGAAACAAAGAAAAACUAAUUGUUUUGGAUAUAGACUAGAAAAAUCCCCUCAAACAGUGUUAUAGUUACUCGUUGUACUGGCCCUAACAGCAGAAUAAUGACCAUAAACCUCAAGAAAUGACAAAUCACUUGCCUUUGGAAGGGAAACUUAGUUUGUCAUAGCAUGUCUCGUUGCCCAAAUGGUUUUCCUAUGCCGAGUUGCCUCUGUGAGCUCCCAUGUCAAAAUUUGGAAAUUAUUACCCCGAUGAUGGAUUUUCCAAGGCUAACCUAUGAGAAUUUCGGUGGAAAAUAAGUUUUCAAAGUAAAAUAUCAAGUUGGAAAGGAAAAUUGGUUUGCAACGGCUUGCCUCGUUGCCCAAAUGGUUUCCCUAUGCCAAGGUGCCCCCGUGAGCCCCCAUGUCAAAAUUUGAUAAUUCUUGCCCCGAUGAAGGAUUUCCCAAGGCUAACCUAUGCGAAUUUGGGUGGAAAAUGAGUUUUCAAAGGAAAAUAUCAAGUUGGAAGGGAAACUUGGUUUGCCACGACUUGCCUCGUUGCCCAAUGGUUUCCCUAUGCCAAGGUGCCGCCAUGUGCCGCCAUGUCAAAAUUUGGGAAUUCUUGCCGCGAUGAUGGAUUUCCCAAGGCUAACCUAUGCGAAUUUAGGUGGAAAAUGACUUUUCAAGGAAAAAUAUCAAGUUGGAAGAGACUCUCAGUUUUCCAUGGCAUGCCUCGUUGCCCAAAUGGUUUCCUUAUUCCAAGGUGCACCCCUGAGCUCCCAUGUAAAUAUUUGGGAAUUCUUGCCCCCAUGAUGGAUUUCCUAAGGCUUAACAUAUGCAAAUUUUGGUGGAAAAUGAGGUUUCAAUGGAAAAUAUCUAGUUGGAAGGGAAACUUGGUUUGUCAUUGCAUGCCUCGUUGCCAAAAUUGUUUCCAUAUGCCAAGGUGCCACCGUGUGCUCCCAUGUCGAAAUUUGGGAAUUCUUGCCGCGAUGAUGGAAUUCCCAAGGCUAACCUAUGCGAAUUUGGGUGGAAAAUGAGUUUUAAAGGGAAAAUCUCAGGUUGGAAGAGAAACUUGAUUUGCAAUGAUAUGCCUUGCUAACCAAAUAGUUUCCCUAUGCCGAGUUUCCCCCGUGAGCUCUAAUGUCAAAAUUUGAGAAUUCUUGUCCCAAUGUUGGAUUUCUUAAGGCUAACCUAUGCGAAUUUGGGUGGAAAAUGAGUUUGCAAAGGAAAAUAUCAAUUUUGAAGGGAAUCUUGGUUUACCACGACUUGCCUCGUUGUCCAAACGGUUUCCCUAAGCCAAGGUGCACUCGUGAGCUCCCAUGUCAAAAUUUGAGAAUUCUUGCCCCGAUAAUGGAUUUCCCAAGGCUAACCUAUGCGAAUUUAGGUAGAAUAUGACUUUUCAAGGGAAAAUAUCAAGUUGGAAGGGACUCUCGGUUUGCCAUGACAUACCUCAUUGUCCAAAUGGUUUCCCAGUUCCAAAGUGCACCCGUGAGCUCCCAUGUAAAAAUUUGGGAAUUCUUGCCCCGAUGAUGAAUUUCCCAAGGCUAACAUAUGCAAAUUUGGGUGAAAAAUGUGGUUUCAAGGUAAAAUAUAUAGUUGGAAGGGAAACUUGGUUUGCUAUGACAUGCCUCGUUGCCAAAAUUGUUUCCUUAUGCCAAGGUGCCCCAUGUGCUCCCAUGUCGAAAUUUGAGAAUUCUUCCCGCGAUGAUGAAAUUCCCAAGCUAACCUAUGCGAAUUUGUGUAGAAAAUGAGUUUUAAAGGGAAAAUCUCAAGUUGGAAGAGAGACUUGGUUUUCCAUGGCAUGCCUCGUUGCCCAAACGGUUUCCCUAUGCCGAGUUGCCCCCGUGAACUCCCAUGUCAAAAUUUUGGAAUUCUUGCCCCGAUGAUGGAUUUCCCAAGGCUAACCUAUGCAAAUUUGGGCGGAAAAUGAGUUUUCAAGGAAAAAUCUCAAGUUGGAAGGGAAACUUGGUUUGUCAUGGCAUGCCUCGUUGCCCGAAUGAUUUCCUAAUGCCAAGGUUCCCCUGUGAGCUCCCAUGUCAAAAUUUGAGAAUUCUUGCCCUGAUAAUGGAUUUCCCAAGGCUAACCUAUGCGAAUUUGGGUGGAAAAUGAGUUUUCAAGGUAAAAUAUCAAGUUGGAAGGAACUCUUGGUUUGCCAUGGCAUUCCUCGUUGCCCAAAUGGUUUUCCUAUCCCAAGGUGCACCUGUGAGCUCCAAUGUCAAAAUUUGGGAAUUCUUGCCCCGAUAUGAAUUUCCCAGGCUAACAUAUGCAAAUAUNNNNNNNNNNNNNNNNNNNNNNNNNNNNNNNNNNNNNNNNNNNNNNNNNNNNNNNNNNNNNNNNNNNNNNNNNNNNNNNNNNNNNNNNNNNNNNNNNNNNNNNNNNNNNNNNNNNNNNNNNNNNNNNNNNNNNNNNNNNNNNNNNNNNNNNNNNNNNNNNNNNNNNNNNNNNNNNNNNNNNNNNNNNNNNNNNNNNNNNNNNNNNNNNNNNNNNNNNNNNNNNNNNNNNNNNNNNNNNNNNNNNNNNNNNNNNNNNNNNNNNNNNNNNNNNNNNNNNNNNNNNNNNNNNNNNNNNNNNNNNNNNNNNNNNNNNNNNNNNNNNNNNNNNNNNNNNNNNNNNNNNNNNNNNNNNNNNNNNNNNNNNNNNNNNNNNNNNNNNNNNNNNNNNNNNNNNNNNNNNNNNNNNNNNNNNNNNNNNNNNNNNNNNNNNNNNNNNNNNNNNNNNNNNNNNNNNNNNNNNNNNNNNNNNNNNNNNNNNNNNNNNNNNNNNNNNNNNNNNNNNNNNNNNNNNNNNNNNNNNNNNNNNNNNNNNNNNNNNNNNNNNNNNNNNNNNNNNNNNNNNNNNNNNNNNNNNNNNNNNNNNNNNNNNNNNNNNNNNNNNNNNNNNNNNNNNNNNNNNNNNNNNNNNNNNNNNNNNNNNNNNNNNNNNNNNNNNNNNNNNNNNNNNNNNNNNNNNNNNNNNNNNNNNNNNNNNNNNNNNNNNNNNNNNNNNNNNNNNNNNNNNNNNNNNNNNNNNNNNNNNNNNNNNNNNNNNNNNNNNNNNNNNNNNNNNNNNNNNNNNNNNNNNNNNNNNNNNNNNNNNNNNNNNNNNNNNNNNNNNNNNNNNNNNNNNNNNNNNNNNNNNNNNNNNNNNNNNNNNNNNNNNNNNNNNNNNNNNNNNNNNNNNNNNNNNNNNNNNNNNNNNNNNNNNNNNNNNNNNNNNNNNNNNNNNNNNNNNNNNNNNNNNNNNNNNNNNNNNNNNNNNNNNNNNNNNNNNNNNNNNNNNNNNNNNNNNNNNNNNGCAGCGAGAUCGUCCGAGACUGUAGCGAGAGGGCUCAGGAAACACUGUAGGUUUAGGAUUGUGGCAUGGAACAGAGAAAAGAGAUGUGAUGCUGCUAUUCGGUAGCCUGCUGUGGUGAAGUUCUGCCGGUUAAAGAGAAGGAGGUCGUGCUGGAUCUAUUGCGCAGAUACACAGGGCACUUUUUUCUAUUACCUUAGGAAUAUGAUAUCAACACUUAUAUAUAUAUCAUUUGCAUCACAAUGCUGUUAAAUUCUUGACAUUAUGGGACUUGCUUGCUAUAAAUUUGGAAACAAAGCUUUAAUGUGUUUUGCCUAUGAAAAGUUAAGGUAAGGUGAAUAAGGACUUAUCCUUUUAUAUAAUUAUGGUUGCGUUUGGAAGAGUUUAUUUGAGCUAUUCGUAUAGUAUUAACAUUUAUGCAAGUGUUGCCAACAUGGGUUGGCAGAGCUAGCUUCAGGUUUCGGGUUUAACUCUCACCUCCCCAUAGGUUGAGGGUUCGAAUACCUCUGGGAUCAAUGAAAUCCCAGUUGGUGGGCAACCCUCCUCGGGGAGAUCCCUCGACGCUCCCCUCUGCGCCCUGCCCGGUAGUCUGGAGGUGCUUAUCUCUUCGUAAAAAAACACAUUUAUGCAAGUGUUUGAGAAAACUUGUGAAAAGAGCUUAUAGGUUUUGAGCUUAUUUCAUAAGCUGCCCAUAAUAGCUUAUGAACAAGCGCGCCGUUUAUACAUAUCUAUCAGCUUCCAAAUUAGCUUAUGAAUAAUCGCUUAAGAGGUUUUUGUCUCUUUCAGUACUUAUGUGUUCUCUUGUUUGACAUUCUCCAGCCCUAGUGGACAGCAGUUUGUGUCUUGCAAGGAGGUUUCGGCGUAUUUGCAGUCCCUUUUCGGUCAGGCUGAACCACAAUUAAAAAUCAGUUGUAGGAAUGAAAAUAUUCUGCAGGAGCAGAGAGUGACUACGGAGAACGUAAGUAUACAUGCACACCACCCUUGUUGAUCUGUUGUGAUAUUGUUGCAGUGAUUUAUGGGGUUGUGCUGCAGUCUGCAGGUGUUACUGGUGAGGAUCAAGAUCAGAGGCAGAUUGCAGCGACUAACUCGGAUGUGCCUGGUUUAUCUGUUUCUAAUGAACGAGUGAAGGAAGUUUCCUUGUUAGGGAUUGAGAAUCUUGCAGAUGUGCAAAUACAUGACCUGUUUGAAUGUCACAAAUGCAGCAUGACCUUUGGUGAGAAAGAUUCAUACUUGCAGCAUCUGUUGUCCGUUCACCAGAGGACGACCAGGCGGUACCGACUUGGUUCUACUGUUGGAGAUGGAGUUAUAAUUAAAGAUGGAAAGUUUGAGUGCCAAUUCUGCCAUAAGGUGUUUCUAGAAAGGCGUCGCUACAAUGGUCAUGUCGGGAUCCAUGUUAGGAAUUAUGUGAGGAGAGUUGAAGAUUCACCAGGUCAGACAAAUGUCCAAAGAGCAGACAAAUCUCCGGUCCUGGAGGAGGUGCCUUCAAGGAUCUCUAAGAUGGAUGCGCUCAUUGAAAUUGCUCAAAACUCUAUUAUGGAGGAUUCUGUCAUGGAACCCCAUAAUUCAGCUAAAAUGAAUGUGAUACCCGAUUCUGAAAUUGCUGUUGGUGACUUUGACCAAGACAUGGACUUUGAAUAUCCUACCGAUGUGGUGGAUGAUUUAAAUCUGCAAUGUAGCACGCAUUUACUCAUGAAUGGAAAAGGAGAUGAAAUUGAUGAUUAUAACCAAGUUAUUGAUGCAGAGGGGGUUACUCUUCUAGAUAGCAUGGAUUUGUCAUAUGUAAACGAGCAAAAUGUCCAUGUAUCUGGUACUUCAAAGGGAAAAGAAGAUGUUGCGUUGACAGCUGCGGGGUUUGGCCAGUCUGGGAUUGAUUUGGAAGUGGUUUCUCAAAGCCCUUUAUUUCCUUUAUCUGGUUGCACUAACAGUAAAGGGCAAUUCAAACUUGAUGAAGACAAUAGCAAGAACAGUGAGUUGAAAUUUAGUUUAGAUGGCUGCAAGGAUGUACCUGUUAGGGCUGAUUUUCAAGAGAUAGUCAUGUCAGUUUCUGAAGAAGUUGUGGUCCAUUCUAGCAUUUCUAACCGCUCUAUAUCCACAGAACAACCUCUGGAUUGUUUUCCAGCCUUCAGCUCUGAUAAGAUAUAAGGCAUAACCUAUGGCGCCUUUAAUGUUAGGGUUUCAUGUAUGUUGAAAAACUGAGGGAAUAUUCCUACACCUAUCAUAUCAAGGUCCUCUCAGAAAGUGAUUGAUUUGAGGCUAGCAUGUAUUCUGGUUUUAUGUUGUAUUGAACCAUUGCUGUAAUAUUACAAAGCCCUUGGUGCACUUUUCUUGGAUUUUCAACACAUCCUGUUUAUUGUCUAGGCAAUUAUCCUCUAAGUAAAAUAACUGUAAAAUAACGGUUGAUGUUUUGCUUAGCAUGAGGACAUACAUCUGUUGACAGGAAAAGUUAUGAUGGCUGCACAUUAGAAUCUACUCAGAGGAGGACUUCUUCUUCAACUUAGGUUGUUCAAUUUCCUGAAUCAUUCUAAUUUCUAACAACAACUUCCGUUCUGACUUUAUGUUACCAUGUGUAAAAUUCGGACCCCCCUCAGAAUGAAUGAAAGCAAUUCCUUUGGCAGCUCCAAGUGCAAACUUCAAUCUUGAAUCCCAGUCUAACUGAGUUCUUCCUUGAACCUCAUCUCCUAAUGUUUGGAAUAGAAAAAUUUGGCAACGAAUUACUACAAUUGACAUUUCUUAAAGCUUAUCUAUAGUUAUGAAAGCAGUGUGUUAAAGCAUUUCUUAAAGCUUAUCUAUAGUUUUUUUUAUAGUAGAUAAGUUUUAAUAAAUGCUCUUUAGUUCGUAUAUCCAAACAAAAUCUAUAUAAAGCAGUGUGUUAGAUUAGAACGUACCAUGCAACAAGUGAAACAAGCUUCCUUUUGGCAUGUAGUCAUAAACUAGAAGUAUCUCAUCUUUGGCCUGAUGAUAAGCUCGAAGAGGCAUGACAUUGGAGUGGCGUCCAAUUCUCCCUAAAAUUGCCAUUUUCAACCUUGUGGCAUCCAAAUCUUUCAACCUUUUUACUACCACUAUCGUUCCCUUCUCCAUAGAGCUAGACUAGACCACAAAUUAUCAUUGUUAUUUAGAGUUACUAAAAUGGCUAACUGAUUUAUCUUUGUUUGUUCGCAAAAUUACAUUAUAGAAGUUAAAACAAAUGGAAGUUUCUUGUUUAAUAUAAAAUAUCCCUAGUAUAAAAUCAUUUUCAAUAGACACCAAGUAGAAUUUUCUUUAUGAAAUACAAUUAAUAAUGAAGUUUUUAUUUUUAUGAUGUGAUGAGAUAAGAAAAGAAAAGAAAAAAGGUGAAUAUUUACAUACCAUUUUCAGCCAAAUCAAGAGAGAUGUAAUAUAAGAGGAAGAAAUAAAAAAUAUGAUAUAAUAAGUAAAGAAGAGAGAUAUAAGAAUAUAAAAAUAGUUUUAAUAAUUUUUAGUGCAUAUAUGGUAGUAAAUUUUAAUGCGUACAUAUUAAUAUUUUUUAGUGCAUAUAUUUAUAAUUUUCCCGUAUGCGUACUGUAUUAUUAUCAAUAUUAUUAUUAAUUUUUCCAUAUUAUUAAAAAUUAAUGUGGAUCAAUUUUUCCAUAUGCAUAUUAUUGACAAUUUAUUAAAUAACAAUAUUAUUAAUAAUUAAUUAAUAUUAAAAAUGAAAAUUGAAGAAGAAAUAAAAAAGUUAAUUUCUUAUUUUACUAACCUACGUAGGAUACGACAAUGAGAGAUUACAGCGGCUUAAACCGCCGCUAUAUGUUAGCUAUUACGUUGGUUAUAACUAUCACUACUUGCAAGCUGAAAAUCAAUAUGAAUAUAUUGUGGCGUUUUGAGUCAUCGUUUACUUCCAAAAUUGUCCGCAACUUUAUUUAUUGCAUAACACGUCGGUUGUUGUGGCGGUUACCUAUUAACCGUCAUUUUAUACCAUACGUCGAAUGUAAUUACGUCGUUUGGCGGAACCAACAUUUUUCUGGAUUACAUCGGUCGAAACCAACGUAAUUAACAAAACCUAACUACCACAAUUAACACAUUUUUUGUAGUGUGUGAUCUAGGGACCACGUCCCUAUUUAUUGGUAAUAAUCUAUAUAUUUAUUUCUAUCUUAACCCAUUUCAUAACUAAAACAGAAAUAUAUUUAUGUGUCUACACAUUAAAGACAUAAAUCAUAACAUUAUGAUCUUAAUUAACUGAAAUCUUACCUUAUAAUAUCAGGUAUCACAAAUAAGGGUGAGAAUAGGCUGAGCCUAAGUAGGCUUUGCGUAAAUAGGCCUAGCAUGUUUAAAAAUCUUAAGGCCUGAGCCUAACCUGUGGCAUGUCAAAGGCUUUUUUUCGAGUCUGGCCUGGCCUGGUAGCCUAUUUAAAGGCUUAUUUCACAACAAGAGUUUUACGUUUGCUAACAAAAUUAUUUGUAAAGAAGCUAUUAAACUUAUAAACUAACAGGUUAAAUUAUACUAAAAUAUUUUUUUCAACAAUCAGACUCAUAAUAUUAUAAGCUAUUAGGUAGAAAUGAAACUAAAUGAGAGAUUAUGUUGGUUUCUUAGAGUCGGAGAGCCAGUAUAAAAUCAAACUUUAUAUUAAGGUAUUUAAAUACGUUAUAUAUCUAUUUCUAAAUAGACUUAUAACUUUAAGUCAUUAUAUAAGUCAAUUUGUUUAAAUAUAUAAAGAUGUCAAUAAGUAUAUAAUCUAUCCAUAUAUAUAAAUAAAGCACACUUGAAUCAUUACAUCAAAUACAUUAGUAAAUAUUGCAUGUAUUAUAAUGCAUUAAGUAAUAACAAAUUUAUCUUUGUAAUAAAUAUAUUAAAUAAUAAGAUUAAAAACUGAAAAAAAAAUUGUAUUAUCAAAAGCUAUUCAACUACCUACAUUAAAUAUUCACAAAAAUACCUAUAUUAAAUAAUAACAGUUAUAAUUUUAAAAAAUAACUUGAGUUGACAAAUAUUAAGAAUUAAAAUUAAUUAAUUAUAAAUAAUAUUUAUAAUUAAUUAAUUAAGAUAAAAUAGAAUUAAAAUUAAUAAAUAUUAGUUAUUAUGUAAUUAUUGAUAGUUAAAAUUAUCAUAGAGUAAUUUUUCUAUUUAACUACAUAUAUGAUGAUAAAUAAGUUAAAUAUAUUAAAAACUAAGUUAAUUAAAUUAGGAGAUAUAUAUUAAAUAUGUUAUACAUGUCAUGUUAGUUAUAAAAAAUAAUAGAAUAAUUAAAUUAAAUUUAUUUGUCAAAAUAGUUUAAUUUUAAAAAUUUUGGUUGAUAAUAGUUAUAAUUUUGAUUUAAAAUAUGUUUUCUAAUAAUAUCCAUGGCCGGUCCCGACAUUUUGGAGGCCCUGGGUUAAUAAUAAAAAUGGACCCCUAAAUUUUAUUUUGGAGAAAGUUUAAUAGGAACACUAAGCAAAAAAAAAAGGCCUUUUACAGCGCUUCGGACCUCUCGCCGCUGUUAAAUAGUAUACAGUGGUACGAAGCGCUGUAAAAGAUUAACUAUUUACAGCGCUUUUUUAAGUAAAAAUGCUGUAAAAAGUAUUCGAAUUUUUUUUUUCGGACCCCUUCUUUUUUGGAGGCCCUGGGCAGUGGGUCUGCUUGCACAGGCCCAGGGCCGGCCCUGAUAAUAUCUAAUAUGAUUUUAUAACUUCCUCUGAGGUUUAUCAUUGUUGAACUCAUCUACAAUAAACUAAAAAUGUAGUAUGAAAUGAAGUAUUUAAUAAACUUCCUAAAGGAAAUUAUAUUUGAUAUAGCUACAAUAUUUCUUCAUUGAUAAAAAAAUAACAAUCAUUCUUAACCAACUUUCGUUUGCACCUAAUUAUGGUACACGAGUUUAAGAAUCUUUUUAACUAAGUUCCUAUAAUUUAUUUGUGUUAACCACAUGUAUCAUCUACUGAAUGAAUCGUGUUCUACUCAAGUGUAUCAUAAAGUGCAUUCCUUAAGGAAGGAAUCUCAAAGAUCCAAUGAGUUAAUUUUAAAAAUUGUAAUAGACAUUCAUUAGGUUGAACGAUUUGUUAUUUCAAAUUGUCAUAUGAGGUUAAUUAUAAUUCUUUACUUUCUAUAAAACUAUAAAAAUUUAUCGAAUAAGUUGAACAUAUAAUCACCAAAUAAGUUGAAAAUUAUUUUUAUUAAAGAAACAUAAAAUAUAUAAUAUGUGCUUUAAUAUACUAAAAAAUUAAUCCAAGAGGGAUAGCUCAGUUGGCAACGCAGACUGAGUGUGUGAAGAGCCCUCGGGUUUGAUCCCCACAUAAUAAACUAUAGGGGAAGGAUAAAGAACCUUAAUUAUGACUAAAUCUUGAAUCUGUCGCUAUAUCCAAAGGGUGACCGAUACCUAAUGUUUAUGAAAAAAAAAUCUAGAAAAUUAGUGCACAAUUUUUUUAUUGAGCUUCAUUAAUGUAAUUACAUUACAUAUGUUUAUCAUAUUCUUAAUUAUCUACUAUUCAAUAAUUUUUCAUACUACAUAAACUAUUUUUACAAAUAAUAGACACAUAACUUAAAAGCAAACAUGUGCAACACACGGGUUUAAUUUCUAGUAUUAAAAUAUUAUGAUAAUUUUCUAAUAUAUAGACAUCAUCAAUAGUAAAAUAUAUUUAUACUAAUCAUAUUUACAAUGUACCAGAAAAAUACUAAUUAUUUUUACUUAAAUAGGCUAGCCUGUAAGGCUUAAAAGACUUUUUAAAUGGCCUGAGCCUAGCCUUUUUAACUAAAUAGGCUUUUCAAAAAGCCUAAGCCUUGCCUAUUUACCAAUUUGGCCUGGCCUGGCCUGUGGUAGACUAAGCCAUAGGCCCCUACGAACGGUCUGACCUAUUCCCACCCCUAAUCACAAAUUGACAAUCCAUAGUUCACAAUUAUUUACAUAUAUAGCCCAAUAUUGUAUAAUGAUCCAACAUUUACAACCAUAUUUAUAAAUUGACAAUCCAUGGUUCAAAAUUAUUUACAUAUAUAAAUGGCUUAACUAUGUUGGAGGUCCCUCUAAAAUAUGGAUCAUUUGGUUAAGGUCCCUUACAAAACUUUUUGAGUGGAAUAAGCACCUAAUGUGAAAAUAAUAUAUAAUGAUAAGCCCCUGUUGUGAGGUUCCGUUUAAUCUUUUAUGAUUCUGCAAACGGCGCUGACGUGGAUUAUAUUUUGUAAAAAUUAUUCAAUUAAAGAGGGUGCCACGUAAGUAAAUUAGGGUUGAUAAAAUAAAAAUAAAACAAAAAGGAGCUACUUGAGUCUAGUUGAAUUUGCGAACAUAGGAGAUAAAUCCAAUGAUGACAUCAUACUCCUUGACCUCCAUUGAAUUUACAAAGUGGUACCAUAACUUCAGCACGGGAUUCUGAUAGUCUCUAACCACACUACGUCUUAUUCUUUUCAACUUGACAUGUGUCAUCACUGAAAAUGAAUAUUAUUCCAAGUUUACCUAUCAAGUCAUGAAUUUAUAUUUAUAUUUUGGCUUAAAUACUCUGGAAGUCCUUGGAAUUGUACCCCGUACGAAAAUAAGUCCUUGAAAUUUGUUAUUCAAAUUCUGGGUCCCUGAAAUUUUUCUUUGAAUCUAAAUAAGUCCCUACCUGUGUUUCAUGCUUAUGUGCAGUGGCAGAACCAGAAUUUUUGUGGAACCUGGGCAAGUUUAAGCCUAAAUACUCGCACCUGAUGCCUGACCCAGGGUUUUAAACUGCGAUUGCGGUUGCAAGUGCUGCGGUUUUAGACAUUGCGAUGUUACGGCGUGAAUAGCCUAUUGCAAUGACAAUUAUGUCUCAUUCUCAAUUAAACACUCAACCCUAACAUAUAAGUACAAUCCAUAGUUAUCAAGUUCGUCAUACACUUCGUGGUAUGGGUACAAGUACGCGGUACGCGACUUAUAAAGUAUGCAGUACGAAGGGGAUAUACAUAGUCAGUUGUAUAUAUAAUUUGAUUUGAACUUAAAUUUUACGUUAAAAAAUCAAAGAUGUAGUGUAGUAGAGAGGAUGCCAUCACAUUAAAAAUUAUAAACUUGGGAAAGUUGAAACCAAUAUCACCUUUAACAAAUAUUAAAUAUAUUAAAACUGAUUAAAAGUUAAAAUGUGAUAAGAAUGAAGCGGGUUAGUAAAAAGGUGAUAAAUUGCUUUUUGAACUCAAACAAAAUAUGAGGAAAAAUUACAAUUGUGUUGUCCCAAUUGAACUAACAUAUACACUUGAAGGCCCAAACUAAACUAAAGAUAAAACUUGACAAAAAAAAAAAAAGAACUAACAGUAACAUAGAAGCUAACCUAGUUAUUUUGUGAAUUUUAUCUAUAAGUCUAUCCAAUUGUGAUUUCUAGUGAGGUGGCAUAAUAGCAAAGGCUUAUCACUGACAUAAACAACAUUUCACACUUUGAUGGUUUGACCCAACAUUUCACUGAUAGAAACAACAUUUCCUUCAUUGUUCCACUUCUUCUCUUCCAUUGCAAAGUGCCCAUUCACUGAUAGAACCAGACAUUUCCUUUUAAUUCACUCGCUUCUCUUUUUAUAAACAUACCAUCUUCCAUUAUUUUGUGGGUAUCUCUUGUUUCCGUGUCUAAAUUCAGCUUUCUUCAAAUUUCUGGUUCUCACCAGUCACCUACCGUCCCACCGCUUCACCCACCGCCUCACUCCCUCCCUCACGGCCUCACCCACAGCUUCAGCGACACACUCACCCACAACUUACAAAUCACAGGUUCACAGAGUCAAAGAGGCUUUACCUCUCAGAGAGAAAGAGACUUGCGUGUUGAAGAGAAGGGAGCAAGCCAGCAAUCGAUCAACAUAGGUUACAGAGCGACAGAGGUCAAGGAAGCAAGCAAUGAAGCAAUCAAUGGAGAGUGAAGAGCAGCAAUCAUCGAUUGAUUAGGGAUUUAGGGUUCUUUUUCCCCCUUUCCUUUUCUGAAGUGUAUUGCUUUCAAAUUUUGGCUAAUCUCUCUUCUUGUUUUUUGGCCCAGAAGCCUACCUGGUCCAAAGAAAAAAUAAAUUUUUUUUCUUGGAGCCCAGGCAUAGGCCCGACCAAGCCAGGCGGUGGUUCCGCCUCUGCUUAUGUGGCUAAUUUUUUUACACAGUCAUCAAUUCCACGUGUAUUUUUUGUAUUUCUUUUAUGCCAACUGUGUUAAUCAAUUUUAAUUAACAACUAAAUCUCAAAAUCAAUCCCUAACGAUCCCUAAUCUAAUUAAUCCCUAACUCUAUCAGAGUCAAAAUAAUAAAAAUUCCAAAAUAGCAUUUCCUUUCUAAAAAAAUUAUUCAUCUGCAGAUAAAAAAAAUGGCCAAAAAAAAUAGUUAUUCAUCUAGCUUCUUCAUCUUCAACACAACACCACCGCCAGACCACCAUCCCCAACCACCACCGCCGAACCAACAUCCCCAACCACCAAUUUGUUCAAAGCGAAGCUCAAAGAUGACAAAAAAGUGAAAGGUGCAAGCUUUUCAACCCAGAUCGGAUGAAAAAGCUUGAAGAGUUAGAACCCACAUUAAAGCUCAACAGAACCAAAAACCCAUAUCUCAGAACCAAAAACCCAAAUGCUCGACCCCAAAACUCAGUCGCAGAGGUUGGUGGUGAAGCAGCUCGGAGGUUGGUGGAAAAAGAGGGAUGUCGUGAUGAUGAUGAAACGAUGAUGAAGGGCGAUGAUGAUGAAGGGAGAUGAAGAUGAUGAUGAAAGCAAAUCUGGCUUUCGUGAGGAGGAUGAUGAAACAAUGAUGAAGGGCGAUGAAAGAGUUAUUUGUGAGCGUGAAUGGGUGAUGAAGAAACAGUGGUGGAGAUUGAUUUUCUGAAGAUAAGGGUUGGGUUUGUUGUGGUUUAAUUUAGGGUUUGGAUUAGAUAAUUAAUUGAUUAAUCCAUGUGUAAUAAAAGAAAAUUAUAAAAGCCACGUGGAAUUAAUGACUGUGCAAAAAAAUAGAGCCACCUAAGUUGUUAACACGCGUAGGGGCCUAUUUCGAUUAAAAACAAUUUCCCAGGGACUCGGAAUCGGGAAAAAAAUUUCAAGGACUUAUUUUCGUACGAGUACAAUUUCAGGGACCUCUAGAGUAUUUAAACCUUAUAUUUUUGAAGCUUAUAUGCUGAAUAUUUUUGAAAAUAGUAUCUUAAUAUUAUAUUUCACACACUAUCUCACUUUGUAAAUGUAACACACUACACCAAAAUGCGCUAUUUAGCGGCGGUUGAAGUUGUUAAUAGCGGCGGUUUGAACCUCCGCAAAAAACUUCCUGUCGGUUGUCCAACCGUCACUGUUUCUUGCGCCGCGAGUCAUCCUAACAUCGGUUUUCAGCAACCGCCGGAAUAACCGCCGCUAUAUUCUAGCGGCGGUUUAAACCGCUGCGAAGUGACAAUUAGAACUCAACACCGGUUUUAACACAAAACGCCAGUAAUCUAACAACGGUUAUGCAACCGACGCAAAGUUUAUAGUUUAGUGGCGAUUAUAUGUAACCGCCGCUAAAUCCUGUAUUUUCUAGUUGUGACAUUGAAAAUUAUCUUAAUUCACGCCGGUUCUAAAUCUAUUAACCUAAUAUUAUAUUCAAUUUUAGUCCUUCAUUCAAAAUGGCAAUAUUCAAAAACUAAAUAUAAGUCAAUUCUAUGUUCUUGAUAGUUAAAUAACUAUAUAUUAUCAUGGUUGAUGUUUUGCUUACCAUGAGAAAUUCAAUUGAACUUCUUCCAUUCUUAACUUCCUCAACCAUUCUAACAACUUCUUCCAUUCUAGGGCUUGACCCAUCUGUACAUUUACGCACAAUCCGACGCAUAAGAUCCAAUUGGACUUCAUAAAUGUCUGCUAGCUCUACAUCAAAUAACUCAAGUAGCUCCUGUGACGUAAACAUUAAAAAACUUUCAUAAGCCAAACUAUACGGAAAAGUUCUAACCAGACAUCAGAGCCCUGAGUGAUAUGCCUGGAAUUAGUAACUUAUGGAGCUUUAGACAUAAAAGAAGAUGAUGAGGCAUUCGUUUGAGAAGUCAAUCUAACAUCAGAGAUGCAGGCAUCAUCAAGAUUUUGUGUGAAGAAAACAUUGGUUGACUUUAAGUUGCCAUGUGUAAAAUUUGGACCCCCCUUAGAAUGAAUGAAAGCAAUUCCCUUGGCAACUCCAAGUGCAAUGUUCACUUUUGAAUUCCAAUCUAAUAAUCGAGUAUUUUUCUCAGCCUUAUUGCCUACAGUUUGGAAUAGAAGAAUUAGGCAAAGAUAAAACAUUACUAAAAUUGGCAUUCAUGAAUUAAUUUAUAUGCAAUAUGGAGCAAUGAGUCAGUCAACUUAGAACGUACCACGUAAAUAGGAAAAUAAGCUGCCUCUUGGUAUGUAGGUUGAAGUUUCGAGGAAGAAGGAAAGAAAAGACAUUGUGCUCAAGCUUUCUUUGCAUAGCGAAUAACCCACUUGAAAAGAUUAUCAUGUUACGAUGCAUAAUGAUUUAUCGAGACAAUGUUUCAUGGCGAGGAAAGAUCUCUAAAAUAAUAGUGUAUUUGUACUUCUGCAGUUAGUAUUAAUCUUGACAUGUAAUUAAAAAGAAAAAGAUAGAUGAAAACAUUUUUCGGAGAAAAAAAUAUAAAUAAAGGGACAAGUCAUGAAAUGUUCAUAAUAUCUUUUUGAGAAAGUUGAGACGUUUACAACCUUGUGUUAAUAUAUUCAUGCACCAUUGCUCUACUUGAUGAAAUAUCCAAAGACAUUUCGGUCAGGCGUGACUCUUCCAAAUUAAUCCAUAGAGAUCAAACUGUGGACAAUGCUAACAUAAGGGCAGUACCUUAUAUUGAGGUUGAAUAUAAAACUUGGGAAACAUUAGCCAAUUGCCAUGAAUAGUUAAUGAUGUACUGAUUCAAAGAAAUUGCAUAGUAUCAAUAUUUCCAUGUGAGUCAACACUAAAUCAUGACAGUUUCCUUGUAGAGACGCCCAAUCUCAUCCCCACAGAAACCAAGGUCUCCAGCGGUCUGGUGCUAUUUAUUAGAAGGUCUUGAUCAAUUGUAAUUGAAUUCUGUAAGAACAAAAGAAAACAGAUGUCACUGCAUACGCAUGAACUAUGGGGGCCCUAUAGAUAGAUCAUACCAAAAAUAUAAAUCAAGGUCAGUGAAAUUCGGAAUCAGGACCAACAAAAUAAAUUUCAAACAUAAAUGACAGUGCUUCCACCAAAUGAGAAAUAUCCGAACUGUUAGCAAACACAUGCCAAUUAGAAACAAAUACAACAUAUAAGAUUGGAAAAACUGUAAUCAACUAUAACUUGUCCAAACCUCAUCUCCCUUCUUGACAUGAUCGCCCUUUUUCUUCGUAAAAUUAAUGCUACCAACCAUUGUAGCUCCUAUUGCAACAAAUGCUACCUGAUUCCACAUCAUAGAAAACUCUCUAAGAUACAAAUAAAAUACAGGCAUGCAGCGAUAAGAUGAAUUGAAGUGGAGCCAGUGAACUCUGAAAACAUUUCAGGAAUAUAGCAAACCUCAUAACAAUGGCAAGAAUGCAAGAGGUACAAGAGCAUUAAUAAAAAAUAAAAUGCAUAAAUGGUUUAUAUGCCACUAAUAAAUAAAUAGGAAUAAAACUAAACCCGUGCAUUCGGGCAAAGAAGUUAAUUGCAAGACAAACCUUUCCAAAAUCUACAGUUGAAAUUAUUGAAACAACUCGCUUAUUCUCCGUGAAGACAUUACAAUACUUGCUAUUAACAGCAAUGGGAUUGACCUAUAUGAAGAAUAGAAACACAUCAGAAAAGUUGCAAAUGGGAAUUGACACAGAAAACAGACCCAUAAUAUAUAAAUAAAAUAUCAUUUUGCUGGAGUUAUUAUUUCACAUACUGUAUAUAGGCAUCCGGGAUAUCUACAAAUUGCUCAAUAAUUCCUGAUACUGGCACAUGGAAACGGUGAUAAUCCUGCAAUAAAUCAAUGUUAAAAUCAAAAUUUGCAAAGCAAACUAACACAAAAUUAAAGUGACUUUGAAAGAAAGCAACAAAUACCUGCGGUGCCAAGCGGAAAAUAACCAUUGUUCCAUCAACAAAAGCACUGGAACUCAAAACUUCUUUCCCCAAAAGGCCUUGAAGGGAAAACUUUUGACCCUAAAGUACAAAUAUAAUCCAAAAAGCACUUCAUUUGGCAUUAAAAAGCUUAAAAGAUUAAAGGACAAAGAAUGAGAGCUAUCCCAAUUUUUAAGGGAAUUUAAUUUUCCUUGCCACUAGCUGCCACCAGUUUCAAUAAUUUGGCAUUGCUUCUAUUCGAAAAUGUUUGUUGUUUAAGGUUAUGCACGAAGAGUAAGAUGUUAUUUAUUGAUAUAUAGCUUGACUGAAACAACCUUGUUUAUACUUACAUAUAUAAUUUAUUUUUAUCCAGAUUUUCACAACUAACCCACUCAUUAGUAGAAAGAGAAGAAUGGUUAUUGGUCUAAAUAAAAGGUGAUAGGUGAGACAAAAUUUAUUAAAUGAUGGUAUAAAUAGAAAAGUAUGGGAUAAAAUAUUUUGAAUUUCUAAAACAACAAAUAUUUGGAAAAUUUGAAAAAUGCUAAAACAACAAACAAUGGAACAAAGGUAAUAUUACAAGACAUCUUGGAAGAAAAAAAAGAGAUGAAAAACAUAUAAUGUCAAGAAAAAGCAGUAGUAGAAACAACAGUAGAAAUAGUACCUCAAACAGUUGGGUCUUUUCAUAACUACAAAUUGUUUAAGCGACUAAAUCGUUCUAAGGAGUUAUAUCUCAAGCUGGAUUUCAUGCAAAGCUAGAGUAUGAAGAAAAAUAAUCUCAGAUUUACUCUCAUAUAAGUAAAACCAUAUCCUCCCCAAAGCCUCUGUCCUAAUUUACAGGUGACUCAAGCAGGCCCAAGUUCAAUAUGUAAAAUCAUAAUGUAAUUAUUUUCAUUUAAUUUCAAGCUGGAAAACUUCAUUUUAUAUCAGAAAUCAACAAUUACUAGCACUUAUGAAAUGAGAAUAUCUAAAUAUUAAAAAGAAAAUGAAUUCUUGGGACAAGAAAAUUCCAAGUGCAAGAGAUGUAAAAGAAAUACCUUAAUCCAAAAUCUUGUGCUAUCAUCAACUGAUUUAAAUGCUGUAAGACGGCAAUCAGCAGCACACACAGCAAUGUCGUCACGUUCAGCAAAAGCAAUUGGCCUUGAACCAGGCUUUAACUCUCUAAUGAAAAAUUCAUUGAAUGUCUGCCCAGAACAUAAUUAAAGAUAUGUGUCAUCUAACAAGAUAACUACUAUCGUUAUGAAGUCCAACACAGUUUUCAUUACGAGUAUUGCUCGGUAAUUUUGUUCAACUUCACUCAGCUGCUUGUGAAAACAAUAUCGCUAGCUCAAUGGAAAACAAAUUCUUUCAGUUUUCCGUGUUCAACAGGGAUCGAUAGAGAAGAUAUAUUCAACUAGAAGGCACAAUGGAUUCUAUGAUAACAUAGUAAAAAACAAGAAGUAGCGGAAGCGGACAGCGCAGAGCUAAAUAGAGCUAAAUACAUGCAUAUGUAUGAAAACUAGAGAAAAGCAUUGAAAUUCUUGGAUCAUGAUAGGCUGGACAAAAGCUAAAACCAAAUGGUAGUCCACUAUGAAAUAAGCAAUGAGAAAUAUAGGACACUACAAAGGUCUCAAGCACAUGGAUUAUGGCUAAAAGAUUUCAGAAACAACUGAAGUAAGAUAACAUAAUAAAUGCUAUAUUAUAAUUGUAAAGCAUACUGUAUCAGCAAUGAAAGCCGUUAACAACAGGAAUGUUUUAGGUGCAACUGAAAUGAUCAUCAGAUUAUUUUCAAGAAUAGGCACCAAGUAAGCUAUGUUGUUAAUUAAGCAUUGACUAGCUUUUAAACACUGGAGGAAAGUUAAGGUUUGUAGAAAAAAUUAAGCACUAGAUAAUGUUAAUUAAAUUAAGACCCAAAACUGUAUGCAUAUGAUGAGACGCCAUUACUUUAACUUUUUAGCAUAAUCAAAUUGAACCUGCAAUGUAACCUAAAUAAUUAACAGGAUGGAAAAUAAAGUGUUCAGUCUUCACAAAGUCUUGCCCCACCUUAAAGUGUUCCAGUGGAUACUUGCAUUCUGCCAAAUUGAGUUGAUCCUACAACACAAUAGUCAUAAGAAGGUAUUAUAGGCACACAUUCACAAGUCCAGCAGAUUUAAACAUCAAAAAUAAAAAUAGAUGUGAUAGGAAAAAGAAUAACACCUGACUCUAUUUUGCAGAUUAAACAAUAAAACUAUUUCAACUCUUCAUUUUCCUCCAGUAUCUAAUUGGACACACACACACACACCCCUAUGUACAUACAUAUAUGUAUAGAUUGUAGACACACGAACAGAGUUAGAACACUGCUACGAGUAGGUUUUAACUCAAGCAUGUUGAUUAUUGAAGGGAAACUAUGUCCUUUCAUUUUAAACUACAGAAUAAUUUUGCAAGAUCUAAAUAAGUUCCUACAAUGCCAGUGUACCCCGCACCUGAAGGGUGCUUUAGUUCCUCCUACAUAUCAUUUUCUUGAUAAAAAUUUGUGCGUUGAAAGGACAUAGUUAGCUGCGGGAUGUCAGCUAAAAUAACAUUUAGCUAGGGAUGUCAGCUAACAUAUCACAGGACAUAUCAUUUCCUCCUACAUAUCAGCUAACUAAUUUGUGAGUAAGGAACAAAAAGUUAGCUGCGGGAUGUCUAUAAACACAUAUAAUGAGAAUUGUUUUUAUACAAAAUGAAAUAUUAGGUAAGAUUGGAAAAAUACAAGAGAUUAUAAGAUAUCUUCCAAAAGAAACCAAACACCAAAACAAAAGCCACAAUAGUGAAGUGAAAUUGUGGUUCAAACUCACAAUCAACUUAGACUUCUGUGAUAUGUCAAAAUCAAAUGGUGCUAUCCACAAAGAACUGAAAGAAGCAUUAUCAUACCUUGAAAGAUUCAAUAAAAUUUGGUAUAUCAGCAGCCGAUUCAGGUGAAUCCAUUCGCGCUCCCUGCUUUUCAGAAAUAUUUUGCAAGAGCUCCUUCACCCCUGCAUAUAAAUGGUUCACCAAUUUAAGGUAAAUGAACAAAGUAACUCAACGCAGAAGGAAAAUUCUUAUUCAAAUCCUAUUUAAAUCUCACAUUGAUGUCAGAGUGGUGACUGGUUAAUUUACACAUGUAUGUAACCUAUAAUUUCUUUCAACAAUUUAAAAAAGAAGGGGGGAAACCCUCAUACCUAAUUUCCUGAAAUUCUCUUAAGGAUAUCUCUAAUUCUCUACUUUGAUGAAAUUGUUAAGCCAAUACAAUUUGUAUUGUCGAGACUUUAAAAAAUGGUAUGUGUGACCAAUGUUGAUAGUUGGUAAUAGCAUUAAAAGGCUGCCACCAUUGAUAAGCUUGGAAGCUCUUAGAAUUUGGGUUUAGGCCUAGCUUAGGGGUGACGAUUGCUCUACCCUAUAUAAGGACUAUUUUGGUGAUAUCUCUAGUCAAUGUGAGACUUCUCAACACACACCCUCACGCCUAUGGCUGAACAUCUGGAGCGUAGAAUUUGCAGGAAUUAACAUCUGCGGGUGACUCAUAUAUGGGUGCUCUCCACCAAAUGAUCUAGGAGAGGCUGUGAUACCAUCUUAGAAUUUGGGUUUAGGCCUAACUCUACCCCAAAAUCUAGCUUUGUUGUGCGGAUUGCUCUACCCUACAUAAAGACUAUUUUGGCCAUAUCUCUAGUCAAUGUGGAACAUAUCAAGAUAAACCUUUAUCCUAAUUUUGGUGGAUGUGAUUAGGCAAACUCAUUUAUUAGCAAAGGAGAGAAGGAAAUUCAAAGAGGUCCUGUACAUCCUGAUGUAACUUAUAACGUUUAUAAAUGUACAAUGUAUCACAUAAAUGAAAUCAGUUAAAGAAAAGAAACAACGGAAAAGAUACAAAAAAAUUCCAUACCAGAAUAUGGGAAGUACUUGAUCCAGAUCGAAGACCAACUUCAUAGGAUUGGAAAUGGGCCCAUUCACUCAGUUUCAAGAACCACUUAUAAUGAGGGGAAAAUAAAGUGCCUUUAUUUUCUAGGGAUAUGCAAUCAUAUAUACAGAACCGUAGACCAUAUAUAUGGCACUAAAAAAUUGUGCUGUAUAAUCCAUUAGGUCAACAAAGAUCAUACUUUACUAGUUCCUGUCUCUUAAUGCUUAAACUAGCAGUAAAUUGCAAAAUUUUACCCAUAAGAAGCCUGGUUAUCUGUUAAGAAUCCUCCAGUCAUCACCUGGUUUCCGGUCCCUUCAUCAAAACAAAGAGUUAAGUGGAUCAUGCUGUUCAACUGGUUAGAAAUUUGAAGAACCUCGCCACAAACAGGGAAGCAAUUCAAUAAUGGUUCCCUGCAAUACCAGAAGCUAGAUAAGCAAAUAAGAAUCAAAGAAAUGCAACCAAACAACAGUUUUCAAAACGAAAUUCCUACUUCUAGUCAAACUUCAUCAAAUCUUAAAAAUGAUAUAGCAGUACAAAUGAAAUUAGUUAAAUAUACAUGGGUAUAUACAUACAUAAAUAUACAUGGGUAUAUACAUAUAUAUAUAUAUAUAUCCACCAAUAGUAAAAGACAACAAUAGGAAUGAAAAAAAUAAGGCUUUGUCUCUUGUAAUCUAGAUGGGUCAUUACUUUUCUUGUUGAAAAGCAAGAAGGGCAGCCAAUUCAUCCAUGCUCACAACACCAUCUCCAUUCUUGUCAGCUGCUUUGAACAGCUCCUCUUUCUAUUGAAAAAGAAUUUUUUUGCUGAGACUAAAACUUGAAUGUAGAAAACUAGACAUUAUUGAUUAUAUUGCAAAUUUAUAACUUCAUUUCAUGAUUUGCAGGGAAAAGAUUCAUUAUUUACAGUCACUUUCUAAUGUCAAAAUUCAAGGUUCUAAAUUCUAAUAUUCAAGAUGGUAUAACUUCAUAUAAACCAUGAAAUCUGAAAAUAGGAGAUUAAAAAAUCUAAAUCAAAGUCCAAAUCCAAAUCUAGGUAUACAAGUAAAAUAAUGAUAAUGUAGCAUGCAAAACAAAAAAGUAAUAGGAAACUAUCAUGCUCAAAAUAACUACUCAAGUCUGCACCUUGUUGGUAGCUAACUGAUUGCCAAAAGCAUCAAUUAGGUCAGAAAAUUCAGAAAGUGAAAGCAUCCCAUCUUCAUUGUAGUCCUGCAUAAGACAACCUGAGCUCAAUAAUAACUAAUAGAGGGCGCUAAAUAAAAUCACUAUAUUCAAAUUAUCAAGAAAUUAUUUGGAAUAUUCUAUUGGUCACAGAUUUCAAAUGCUCUUCUAUUUAUUCAACUUAAAUAAACUACCUUUCAAAUUUCAAGAGCCUCCAAUAGAGAAAGGAAACUGGAAUAAUUACUCAUUAAUGUAUCUAUAAGUAGUACAUAUAACAUGUUGAAAUGUAUGUUAAUAUCAGAAUAAAGUCUCAGCAACAAUCCAUGGUGCAAUAUUGGUUCAACAUCAGUACCCUCAUGUACAUGGGUGACAGGGUGAGAUUAUAUUUAUAAAUCAUCUCUUCUUGUGCUACCCUCAUGUCAUUGAUAUAAUCCACACUAGACAUAGGUUAUCAGAAUAUAGAGAAAGAUCGAACUUACCACGAUAGAUAAAAUACGUCUAAUAAAGCCUUUCUCUGUUUCAAUUGGAUCCUGAAAGUUUUAACUUGUAAUUGUUAGAACCUAGCAAUCCAUCAUGCUAUGCCAUAUACCUCUACAGAGCAUGAAAUGGAUAUGUUCCCAACCACUUUUCCAGGAGCUGAUGGAUCUAAAAGGUCAAAGACUUCAGUGUCAGAAUCAGAAUCCUGCACCAUCAUCAUAAUUCAUAACAAAAGUGUGUAAAAUGAACAAUGCUGAAAGUUCACAGAAGAAGCCAAUAAAUCAACAACUUGAACAUAUGUAAUAUAAAAAAGGUAACUAAUAAAGAAAAAAGGAAGGAAAGAAAGAAUGUUUAACCUUGCAAUUGGAUCCUAACAGAAUGUUUCCUCACCUGGGUCAGAAAUUCAAACAGAUCAACCUCACAGCAUCCGACAAGCGUAUUGCGGGAUAGUUUGUUGGUCUGCAUGAGAAAAAAUAUUGAACUUAGAUGCAAUGUCAAACUUAAAUUAUUAAGAAAAUAUGGGGUUGGGGGGGGGGGGAUUAUAACAGUUCAACAACUUUAGUUCUACAUCAUAUGCAGGUUUUCCCUUUCUAGUACAUAGCGGGUGUUGAUAACUGCGUGAUUUUAGUUUAAGCUAGUCCCAGACUCUCAGUAGCUUUAUAUUAUACCCGAUUAUUGAUUCAUGUGAUUUUAUUCAAACAUGCUAAUAGAGUACAAACCCCCCUACUUUUGAAAUGCAGCACAACCCAAUAGCUUAUGAUUUCAAGCUUUGCUUUAUAUUUGCACGAAGGCAUUAUCUCACUUGGACUCCCCCUUCCCUCCCUCCAGUACAAUGCAUAAUCAAAGAAAAGAUUAGGUUCUUAAUUCCUAUAGGCUAGCUCACCUCAAAAUACAGAAAUUCUUGCAACAUGGGGCCCAUUCUGUUCCAACAGAAGUUUCUUUUCCUGUGGAAGAAAGUAUCAGUCACAUAAGAGAAACACUGUCCUGUUAUUCACUCGAUCAUCCGCUCAUACAUCACGAAGAAACAGGUAAAUGAUCAAACAUAAAAUAUCAGAGCUGAACUUGAGUAACCUAAGAUCACUCCUACAAACAAAUGAUAAUUUACCCCCUCACGAAACUAAUUCUUAGCGCGGCUCCUUAACAAAUACAUAUCACUAAGUUCAAGUUAUCACUUUAAAGCAAAAUCAUCUGAACUCACAUUACUAGAUCUCUACAAAAAAUGGAAAGCCAUAAAAGCAUAUUGAAUUAUGUGGCAUUAACUGUAGAGAAUUUAUAUUGAAUUACGAAUGGAGCAAGUACAAUUCAGUUUCAGAAUCCUAAUGAAAAUGACGAGAUAGCUUAUACUCAUAGAUCAGAGAGUAGUAAAGAACUCACAGAAUUCCAAAUUGGUUUAUUGGUUCUGCAACACAAAGAAAACAAAAUCAAUAGAUGAAGAAAACGUAAAAGGAAGCAGGAAUGAAUGAAUGAACUGAACUGUUAAGAGCUUUUUGUUCGGAAAGUCUGUUCUCCGAGAGUAAGGCACGCAAUCCAUUUAUCCUUGAACUGCAUCGCCGCCUACAACAAUCAAACGGAGAACAAUCAGUUACCGCGUAAUGGAGAAGCAGAGUUAGAGAGAGAGGAUUGGCGUGUGUGUACGUGAAGGAGGGUGAGGAGAGCGAUUCCAGCGAAGUUGUCAUCGGAGAGAAGUUUGAGAGCGGAGGCGUUGAUAGGGCUUCUGGAACGACGGUGAAGGUUGUCGUCUCAUUCUUGUCGGACCAAAGGCCCCUCUUCCGCCGCAUCUCAUCUUAUAUCACGGAUUUGGGUUCGUGUGCAUUUGCCGGAACAAUAGUUUAAAACUCAAAAAUGCAUUCCCUCAUCCUCACUUCAUCUUCUUCUUCCCCUAGAAUCCCACACUUUCAAACUCUAAUCACCCUCAUGAUGAAAGACUCAAAAUUUUGGCGAAUUUAAAUCAGUUUUAGUCCUUCAAACUCUCGUCACCCUCACAUUUAAAGAAUCAUUCAAGCAACUUUUUAAUUAAUGAGUCAAACUUACUUUUAAAAAUAAUGUGAAAUCCGGUCAACAAAUGUAUGUUUGUAUAAACUUUGGGGGAAUAUAAAUCAGCUUUUACUAAAUGUAACCCCACACAUCGGUUGAAUUUUAUUUCUCGAAAUAGGUGCAUUAGCCCUCUCACCAAGGGAGAAAAAAUGAUAGGGUCGUUACUCUGGGAUUUGAAGGACAUUUAGUUGGUGCAAACAAUUCCACGAAUACAUACGUCAAGUGAUGUAUGCAAAUAAAUGUCACAAUUUUUGGCUAAAAAAUCAUAUGAACAACUAGUUAUUUGAUGCUAAAAUAUGAAAUGCUAAACUUUGAUCCUUCCUAGUAAAUUUUUAGAACAGUAUUACUAGCAGUAACAACACUGACACAUGCAUCGCCAUGGAAUGAAAUUUUUCUAGGAAAAACCCAUCCUCAUCUAAAGGUAAAGUCUCC
rnacentral:lncRNA from 1 species